rnacentral:lncRNA from 1 species
GUGACCAUGGCGCCGGUGUACAGCAAGUACCUGACCGUCCGCAACUCCUCGGCGGCCGGGGCGGCGCUCUUUCUGCUCUACCUGAUCAGCAAGCGGAGGUGAGAGCCGGGCAGGGGGGGUCACUCGGCAUGCUACCUGGGGGACAUGACCUGACUGCACCCAAAUGACAUGAUACGGCCCAGGCUCAGGGCAGCAGCCAUUACUACUGCUCCCAUCAUCCACAGCCAGCCUGCCUGCCAGCCUGCACUUCUCCUGAUUGGAUUGCAACCCCCAUCAAGCAGUUAGAGACAGAAAACAUAGUGUCUGGAUGAUGGGUGUUGCAGUCCAACAGCUGGAAGGGUGCAGAUUGCCCAACACCAGGAUCGUAGGAGUUGUAGUCCUGGCAGCUGGAGUGAUGGGUGUUUUAUCUUCCUCACCCUAUAGCAGCCAGCCAGGAUAGGGGGGCUGCAGGUCGUCAAACACUGGCUGGAUGGGAGUUGUAGCUGAGCAGUAAAUACAACUAGUUACCAAUUAUUCACAACAUUUGGUGAGAAAUUGUUAAAACGAUUGUCGUAAGAAUAAUUAAAUACAUAGUCUGUGUUGUAAUUAUGAUUUAUUAAUCAGUUUAUGAAACGCCUCAUUGUGUAAGUGAACCAGAUAAUUUUUAUUAAGUUAACCCCUUUUGCAGAUGUAUAUAUUUAUAUAACUGACUGCACUUUAGUUGCUAAUUAUUGACAGUAUUUUUUAUCCUAUAUAAUUAUUAUUAUUUAAAAGUGUGCUAAUCAAGAGGCAGAAAUGUCAGAAGUUGGGACAUCUUUCCAUCACCCUUGUAGCUUCUAUAUUAUUUGACCCAAAAUAGCACCUGCUUUUUGCCUUGAUAAAUGUGGACUUUGUGCCAAAUGUGUUAGGAAUAAGUUUGUGACAUUGGUUAAAUAAAGUGGCGAUCUAUUUACAUGCUAAGGGUUUGGAUAGCUUGUGGUUUUUGCAAAUCCUUUAAUUAUAUUGUGGACUUGUAGUAAUUUGUUUCAGAAUUUAUAUGAAGUGCCUUUUUUUUUUAUUUUUUUUUUUAAAUAGUUAUAAAGUAAACUCUUCAUUCAUUACUCAUACAUGCUUUACUUAUCUAUAUCAGUGCAGGUAAAAGGUUAGAAUAGAUGGUUUGUCAUACACAGUACAAAGGUACAGAUAUCACCUGCCAUAUGGCAAAAAAGAUAAAAUACUAGAUUUAAGGAUGCAUUGCAUAAUUUGUUCAAUUGAUUAUUUAAUUUAUUAUUUUUUUUUUGCAAGAUUAAUUGUAAAUUGUAUAUUUGCACUGCAUCACCAUAUAUAUAUAUAUAUAAUUGACAAGUAGAGAUGUCGCGAACUAUCCGCCUGCGAACAAUAGCGUGUUCGCGUUGGGUGAACAUAUCCGAUUUCCGGUCCGCCCCCUAUACGUCAUCAUUGAGUAAACUUUGACCCAGCACCUCACAGCCAUCAGACACAUUCCACCCAAUCAGCAGCAGACCCUCCCUCCCAGGAAGUGUCUGCUGACUGUGAGGUUCCGGGUCAAAGUUUACUCAAUGAUGACGUAUAGGGGGUGGACCGGAAAUCUGAUAUGUUCGCCCAACGCGAACACGCUAUUGUUCGCCGGCGGGCAGUUCGCGGACAGUUCGCGACAUCUCUGUUGACUAGUAAUACAUUCUGCCUAUGGUAAAAAUAGGAAAGAUCGAUUCUAUAUUUAUUUAAGUAUGGACUGAAAAGCUGUGUCAGAUGAAGACAAGUGGUAUUAAGGGGUAUUUAUCAAAAUGUGCUCUUAAAAAAAGAAAAGGUGCAAAAUUUUAAAGGUGAGGAGUUGCCACUUGAAUUUUUCUACUGGUUUCCAUGGUGACUUCCCUACAUUUAGUACUUUUAACCACUUUUUAGAACAGAACACUUUGCUAAAUCUCUCCCACUGGCGCCAGCCAUGGUCCUGAUUUGACCUGUUGCUUCUAGCAACAGUAGAGCUGAACCUGCAGGUCUCUGGUUUGGCAGAUAUAGAUCACGUAGAUCAUUGUUUUGUGACUUUUAUAAUUGAAACACUCCAACCACCAUAACCACUACAACCUGUUGUAGUAUUAAUGGUGCGAAGAGUUGCCUGGCACCCUCUGAGGAUAAGUAGUCAAGCCUUUUCGGACUGGUUUGAUAACUUGCCUAACAUCCACUAGAUGCCUGUUGCCACCUCUUCUGCAGCCUGAAAGAUCUGCACUGAGCUAGGUUUGGUGCUGCAGGGAGACACUUAUUGACUGAGCUUUUGGUUCCACAGGAGGCAACAGCUGGCACCUGGUAGACCCCAGGUAAGUUGUCAAGCAAUUUCAAAUGGUUUGUUUACUUACUCUAGGAAGGGUGCCAGAGCAUUUUUUUUCUCACUAUAACCACUACAGCAUUCUGUAGUGCUUUUGGUGUCUGAUGUGUUACGUUAAGGCAAGAGUGUGUAACUUUUUUUUCUCUUCAUUCUGGUGAAGUUGUGUCUCUUAUUAAAGGGUACACAAAGCACCAUGACCACUUCAGUGGUUUAAAGUAGUCAUGGUGCCUGAAGUCUGUAUGUGCAGUAUUUCAUCUAUGAAAUGUUGAACAUACAGAAUUUGAAUUUUCUGCCUAGUUCUAUGCACAGAAUUGCAUUCAUUGUCUUAGAGCUGUCAGUCAACAUUCAGCCAGUGAAUGGCGAUAUGAUUGGCAUUCAAUUUCUGCAUCUCUGUAGAAGCCAAAGGAACAUCACCAGUACCGGAAGGACCCUCUGCUUUUAGCAGGGACCCAGGUAAGAAUGCAUCUAUUUGCCCUGUGACUGUGUAACUGGGCUAGGGUACUCCUGGCCUCAUAACAACUACAGUGGGCUCUAGUGAUUAUGAUGCUUGGAAUAAACCUUUAAUUGGGCCUUACAAGCCGAAGUUAACUUCCCAUGAUUUUUUUUAUUGCCUUUCAGAGGCAAUUCAUAGAAAACAAAAUUAUUAAAUAAUGUAAUGCUUCUGAAUGUCCAUUAUUUGUAUCUUCUACAGGGAACAGGAAGUUUUUGAGAAAUCUAUUUAAAAAAAAAAAAUAAUAAUUUUUUUAAAGCUAUAUACUGUCCCAAGUAGUGUCAUUCAUGGGAAAAUAUGUGAAUUCAACCUCCUGGCAAGCUUGUUUGUAGUGCAUUGUUUUAUUAUUUUUGUCCAGACCUCACAAUGUUACAUGCCUGCCUGCCUGCUUGGUGGUAGCUUUUGAAGAGUGUUUUAAGAAACAUACUUAUCUGAAGCUGAUGGCCCAAUUGUAACUUACUGAAUUGAAUUAUUCACAUGUAUUCAUUAAUUAAGGCAUCCUCAUGGCUCCGAUAGUGGUUCUUCUAUUGAAAUCUAUGAGAAAAGCUGUACGAUAUUGUUAGAACUUGCAUAUCAUGUGCAUGUUGCAAAUUUACACUCUAUUGAACUUUUGGCAAGAUGAAAGCAUUAAAUCACUGCAGCUAUAAUUAACUAAAUGAAAGGACGCAAGAGUAGUGGAUUAACUACUACGUAAUAAGUAUUGGCAGUUAUUGGCAGUUAUGGUGUUUUUAAAAGUCUCUUUAGUAAUGAGUAAUAUGGAUGGAUUUUUGAAUAUUUAAAUUUUUCUUUUUUGAAUAUUGACUAUGUUCAUUAAUAUACACUUAGUCUGAUAAACUGCAUGGUUACUCCUUAAAACACUAUCAGAAACCACUUAUUGGUGUAAUAAAUAACCAGACAGACUGCAUAAUAUAGGUUCAUAAUGUAUCAUGUCAGUUUAUUUUUUGAUUUAUGUAUUGUCUUGCCCUCGUUACCACAUAUACUAUAUGUGCUUUCCUGUAAUAUUGUGAGUUACUACGCCCUCUCUCCCCAUCAGAAAAAAACGUGAAAAAAGUGCAUCCAGAAUGUCAUUACUUUUUUGUAUUUGCAACAUUAGUAAGGUAAAAUUGUGACCAACAUUCUAGAAAGCUUCAAAAUAUCACUUGCAAUUUCACCCAUUCCUCCUUUUUUAUGUUUCCUCUUUAUUUGAUCUCUACUUUGUUGUAAAAUCUGACCACCUCUGUUACUUAUUCCAUAUCCCCUUGCUCUCAUUUUAUUUCCAUAUAUCUACUCUUCCCUCCCCGUUCCAUCUGCCAUUCUGUGGUACAAUUACCAUAACUUUAUCAUUACUCUUCCUAUAUAUCCUGCUGUCUUUCCCUCCAUUCAUUUUACAUUAUUUUGCUAACCAUUCUUGCUCUCUAUCAUUCCAUCUCACUGUCUGAAACCCUUAUUGGUUGUGUUUGUGGUGCCUUAGUAGUGACAGGUCUAACAUAAUCACUUGACACUCCUCUUUUCAACAUGAUAUGGAUCAGCAAAGAAAGCUGGCAUCAUGUGAUGUCACAUGCCAGUGUAAGGCUCAUUUCGUACCCAAGAUGCUAUGUACAGUACAUUAAUACGUUGCUUCACGGCACUUCGCUAAUACAUCGCUUUUCAAUUUAUAGUCAGAUGAUGAAUCUCCACUAUUUUAAGGUUAGCAAUGCAUAUGGUGGCAGCACAUUUAUUUUUUUAACUUUUUUAUUUUUUGGGGUCUUCCACUACUGUACUUAUGAUAUUGUAAACUUGUUUUAAGACAUGUAUAUGUACUAAUUACUUUAUUGCAAUAUUCGCUUUACAGCAAUGGUCUAAAACAUAACCUGUCGUAUUAGAGUAUUAGCUAUGUGUGACUGCUGUGCUAUAGAUUUGUAUCUGACUAAUUGGACUCCCUUCUUUUGGUAGUUUACUAUAUAGCUUAAUUUAUUGCUUUUUGAUAUCUUUUAUUACAUUGAUAAAAUUUUAUAUAUUUGUAUACUUCUUAUCUACACAUUUGUACAUAACCAGAUAUGCACAUAUAUCUGCAGUAUGUACAAAAAUAAUCUGAAACUUGAUAAAGUAAUGAACAGGGCCAUUUGACUUGAUUAUUUCUUGGAAAAGUAUGACAUUUAAAAAGUAAUGGGGGUUAUGCACCUAAUGUAUUUUAUCUUUGCACACAAUUGUACAAGUCUGCUAUAUUACAGUUGUCCCUGUAGUGAAUUGAAUGCUCGCAAUUUCAACUAUGGUGAGUAUUAUCCAAACAGCGGUCUAGCUUCAGACUUUGAAAAUUGUGCCCAAAAUCGCAAAAUGUAAAAUAUAUAUCUUUAAAUGGUUGCAAUUGGGAAUUUCCUCUCCCCUCUUGUUUAAGUGGGCACAAUAUUUAUAUGUCAGCAUAUACUUUGAGUGUGAAUGAGAUUUUCUGUUGACUCCAAGUAAGUGGGAUUGGACAUUUUUUUUAAAAAAUGUUAUAUUUAAAUUUCAUUUUUUUACAAUAUGUGAGCUCAGCUGAUAGUAAAAGGCAAUCUAUUGGCUUGUGAGUUGUAUUAGAGGAAAUCUAAAAUAAAAAAAAAUAAAGUUUAACGAUCAAACUUUUCAAAGUCUCUUCACUGCUGCUCUAAUCCUCUUUCCAUAAAGUCAUCAAUACUAAUGACUUGUGGGAUAUGUGGCGCUUUUGCCACAUUCCAGACUAAUUCUUCUCAUAGAGAAUGUUGGUGCAUAGACUGACCCUUUUAAUGUGCAGUUUUUAGUUCCAAUAACCAUUCUAAUUGUCGUUUAAAAGAACUCUCUGAGCCUGACAACUACCACAGCUUGUUUUAGGAUGGUUUGACACUUACCUGGGUUCCACUGAGCACCUACACUACUUUAAGUCUUCUCAGAGUUGGGGAAGCCUGACGUCUGUCUUAUUCAGUGGCAACAUCAUUUUACUCAUUCGUUGGCUGAGAGUACUCGGCUGUUGAUUUCAGCAAAUAAAUGUAUGGGUGUAUUGGCAUCAGACCUUUCCUGCUCAAGAAGACUGGAUGCUGACUAGCGCAUCCGCAGUACCCAGGUCAGUGACAAACCAUGCUAGAGAGGUUUGAUGGGGUGAAUUAAGAUGGCAACAGCGCACUCUUCACACUGUAACCAUCCCUUUAGUGAUAAGCAUAACUGUAUGCAAUUUUCCAAUUAAUAUCAAUAGGAACUGAUAGUUACCAGAGAUAAGUUGAUCUCUUAUAGUAGAAUACAGUCCGAUUCCGGUCACAGAACCUAAAGAAAUCUGACCGAAAAAUAUUUCUUAAACAUAGGGUAUUUACCAAGAAGCUUUCAUUAUUAUACCUGUUUAAUGCAGCUAUUUUACUAGCAGGUACACAAUUCAUGCUAUUGCAAACCAAAAAUAUUCCUCAAGUUGUGUCCAGCUACUAAUAUCUUGAGAAGUAGAAAUACCCCACAUACGUAAUAUGAAAUUUGUUGGUGGUUUGGUUUUUUUUGGCAACCUAUCAUUGUGCAUUUUAAACACUAUGCAGAGAUUAAGUGCAGAAAUAACUUCAAUUUUCUACACUUAAAUUACUGGAGUCAGUGUGAUGGAGCAGUACUGUGCCCAGUUACUUUAUUAUUUUUUUUUUUUUUCUCCUCUAAAUCUCUAUGCAACUUUUAUGUGUGAUUCAAGUUUAAAUCAACUGCUAUUUGCAAGAGUUGUAUUGUUAGAAAGACAUGAUCCUAUAAGCAAAGGAGCUUUUGUAGACUAAGAUUUGGGAAAAAGGAUUCUUAGCUUUUAUAUUGGAAAACAAGACAAAGACUUCACUAUGUGGGUUAUAACAGUGGCAAUUCUGUCUGAAUAAAUGGCGAGGCCUAUAGUGUAAUGCCAUUUGCUUCUCUAGAAGAUUGCAGUCCCUUUUUGUUCAAUGCAGCUGACUUCUCUGGUAUUUGUAGAAACACUUUUGUUUUUUUGUUUUUCAGAAACUCCUCUCUACUAAAUAAUGUACUUAAAUGUAUUCCUUGUUAUAGUCUAUUUUCUGUUGUAAAAUGUUUCAAGGUUUUUAAAAAAUGUACCUGUCCGCUGCCAUCAGCCAGGGCCUUGCGCUGUCCAAUAACAAGCCUGCACUGGAGUAACACUGCCUGCAAAGGAAGCAGUAACAAUAUCUAGGGCCCUAAUCAUUUUAAUUUAAAUUGUUUUGUGUCUGGAGAAGAAGAUUGUCAUGACUUGCAAGGAGAUUGGACUACCACUUUAGUACUUUGGACAAGGAGUUUUUGUCUAAACAUUCACACCAGUGUAAGAGAAAGAGAUAUUUUUAUGCCUGAGAACAUAUUAUACCAGUGAUGGCGAACCUAUGGCACACGUGCCACAGGUGGCACGCCGAGCCCCCUCUGUGGGCAUGCGGCCAUAGGUUGCCGGAGGGAGGGAGGGUGCGCUCCGCCGGCGCAUCCAUAAGGCGGCACAAGUAGCCACCUUAGGGGGCACCGGUGGGCGCAAAGCCGGAGUGACCGGCAGGAGGUGAGCACAUAGCGCAGAGUGCUCCCUCCUGCCAGGCACUCUGUGUAGCGCGGCCGAGCGCACCGCGGUACAGGAACUUAUGUUUCCUGUACCCGGGUGGACGGAAAUGAAGUGCUCACAGAGAGAGCACUUCCUGUCCGCCGGGUACAGGAAACUGAGCUCCGCGGUGCGCUCGGCCACGCUACAAGGUAGGAGAUCAAGGAUGGGGGGGGGGAACUGAGUGGGAGAGAGAUGGGGGAAACUGAGUGGGAGAGAUAUCGGGGAACUGAGGAGAGAUAUGGGGAAACUGAGGGAGAGAUAUGGGGAGAGAUAUGGGGGAAACCGGGAGGGAGAGAUGGGUGGGAAACUGGGAGGAGAGAUGGGUGGGAGGGAGAGAUAGUGGAACGGGAGGAGAGAUAUGGGAAGAGGAGAGAUGGGGGAACUGGAGUGGGAGAGAUAGAUAUGGGGGAACUGAGUGGGAGAGAUAUGGGGGGAACUGGAGAUAUUGGAGAGAUAUGGGGAAUUGAGUGAGAGAUAUGGGGAACGGGAGGGAGAGAUAUGGGGAAGAAACUGAGUGGGGAGAGAUAGGGGGAACUGAGGGGAGAGAUAUUGGGGGGGGAAACUGAGGGAGGUAUGUGGGGAGAAAACGGAGUGUGGGACGGGGGGAGAGGGGGGACGACAUACACACAGCACCCCUGCCCUACACAUAUCACCCCACACAAAGACACCCACACAUCACCCAACCCACACACAUACAAUGUACCCCUCAAUGCAGUGUGUGUACACUCAGCAGUCUGUCUGUGUGUGUGCACUCAGCAGUCUGUCUGUCUGUGUCUGUGUGUGUGCACUCAGCAGUCUGCUAAAUACAGACAGACUGCUAAGUACACACACAGAGAUGUUAAUUAGUUCGGACAACUGUAUGAGUUGUUUUUUCUAAACUUAAACCUCAGUAUUCAGGUUUAAUUGCCGUUUUGGCACUUAGAGGGAAAAAACAUUGGCAUGUAUUACGGUUUGGGCACUCUGGUUCAAAAAGGUUCGCCAUCACUGUAUUAUACCAUCAAUCCAAAAUAAUGGUUACAAAACGUUUUUUGGAUACAUCUUCUUGAGAGCAUAAGGCUUAAAGGAGCACUACGCGUAACACCUUAAGUAAUUUGUCAGAGUACUUUAGAACAGCUCGGUAACUUAAGAAGAAUCUUAAUUAGGUACUGAGCUAAGCUGGGCCAUGCAGGACCACCCUCAUUGAAUGAGCGCAUAGGCUAAGCAGUGUCAGCGCUGCCCUGUGUUGGUGUCAGGAUACUAGUUGAUCCAGCACGCAGAACUGUAUCACACCUAGGGCUAAAGGUAACGUCUUACUGGGCCUUAGAAUGGCCGGACUUAACGUACCAGAGAAUAGUCAAAAUACUUGCCGAUGUUGGGGACACAGAAUGAGACACAACGAUGAGGGAAAGCCAAAGUCAAGGAUACCAGAAUACAGGGAAGUAAAAAUGAAGCCAAACUCAAUAACCAGAAAUAAACGCUCAGGAACACACUCUCGGAUAAACUACUAAGGGAAACCACAACAGGGCAAUGAGGAAAAGCAAAAAGGAGUUUAAAUAAGUCUCCUUUAAAUCCGAUUGGCCAUACCCAGCCUUUGACCCCAGAAUGUGCGUGCACGUCCUUUGCGUGACGUUACACGUGGGGCUACAAAUGGGCAUGGAUCUGCAGCGGCCGGCGUCUUUCAGUAUGCCGCAGGAGUCAGAUACACUGGUACAGGGCUGCUGAUUAGCAUCUCUGUCAAUGCCAGGGAGGUAGUUGCCAUUACGGACACCAUAAGGUGAGGAUGAACAUGUGACAGUUGGCCAUGAAUAGCUAAAUAGAGCCAACUGUGGGAGGUGUGUGUGUAUCUGCAGUAAAGACCGGAUAUGGCAUGGGUGUCGUGUCAGGGAGAUUCUGGUAAGUUUGGUUUAAUAAAGUUAACUGGGACAAAGCCAUUAUAGCAAACUUUAGUGGUUUAUGGUUCUUGAAUUGAUCCUUUAGCCCUUUGAUUGCAAGAGCAGUGAUAAAUGCAUUGGAAUAUGGUACUAUAUUCAUUUGAAUUUGCCAUGCUUUGUGAAUAUUUCCCAGAAUCUAAUUAUCUAUCAUCAUGGUUUAAUAAAUAUUUACUAGCUUGUAUAGUGUAUAUAAAAAUAUUGGAGACUCUUAGCAGUGCUACACAGAAUCAACAGUCAGCAGGUGUCAUUACAGUCAGUGUUCAUUUUGGCAGCAAAUUUCUAAUUAGUUUUAGUCAACGUCUUUUGACUAAAAGCCAUUUUAGUUUUAAUCGUAUUUUUGUGAUCUGAAUUGUUUUAGUCGACUAUAUCACCAGUGUGUUCACCAUCUCCAAUCCCUGGUCUGUCUUUUUUGCCCCUUCUCCAGACAAUCUGGGGCUCCCUCAAAUAUCAGUGUUAAUUUUGGCAGCAAAUUUCAGUUUAGUUUUAGUCAAUCUUUUGACUAAAAAGCCAUUUUAGUCAUAUUAAAGGACCACCCUAGGCACCCAGACCACUUCAGCUUAAUGAAGUGGUCUGGGUGCCAGGUCCAGCUAGGCUUAACCCAUUCUUUUAUAAACAUAGCAGUUUUAGAGAAACUGCUAUGUUUAUGAAUGGGUUAAGCCUUCCCCCAAUUCCUCUACGCUAGAGGCGCUUGCGUGCUUCUCACUGUGAAAAUCACAGUGAGAGCACGCAAGCAUCCAUAGGAAAGCAUUGAUAAUGCUUUCCUAUGUGACCGGCUGAAUGCGCGCGCAGCUCUUGCCGCGCGUGUGCAUUCAGACGGAUCGGAGGAGGAGAGGAGGAUCGGAGGAGGAGAGCUCCCCGCCCAGCGCUGGAAAAAGGUAAGUUUUUACCCCUUUCCCCCUUCCAUAGCCGGGCGGGAGGGGGACCCUGAGGGUGGGGGCACCCUCAGGGCACUAUAGUGGUCCUUUAAUAUUUUUUUUUUACGUUUUAGUCAACUAAAAUUGUUAGUCAACAAAAUUAACACUGAUUACAGUGUUAUUCUCUUUCGUUGUUCACAGCACAGUCACAUACUUUGUCUUUCACUAAUUUUUGAGAAUUCAAAGCCGUAUUUUUAGUUAACCAAUUUUAAUCUAAAAUUUUAAAUUACAAAUAGUUCACACUUAUGAAUAAGUCAGAAAAGUUAUGAAUUACUCACUAUCUGUAUAUCUUUAAGACUGUCCAAUGUGCCAUUAUUCCUUUUAAUAUUAACUAGUUGGUCACACUGUAUUUUUUUUUUUUUUUUUUUUUUAAGGCAAAGGUUAAAGGAACACUUCAAUCGAAAUCUGCACACUUAUACAAUUGUCAAAAACGCCUCCCAAGCUGUCAGAAAGACAGGGAGGUUUUCUUCCUCUCACAGAACUGGCAAGUGCACUGGUGUAGAAGAACACCUGCCUUCCCCUCCUUCUUAGUAUGCUGUACUACUGCUUCUUUGAGAGGCAUUGGAAAGUUUUGAUAGUGCUCUUGUGGCAUCUCAAUGAGAAACCUCUGAUUGGGUAGUUCUCUGGCACAGAUUUUUAGUCUCUGCAGAUCUCCAGUUUUUGCAAGCUGUUUAUUUUUUCCUCAUAUCCCCCAAAGAAAACAUGCAUGUAUUUUUGUUUUCUUCUGGUAUAUAUGAAUAAUAGUAAAAAACAAAGAAAAUAAGAAGUUUUUCCUAUAUAUUGGGACUGAUGUGUACUGUAGUCAUUGCUGUCGGCCCAGUAGUGAUGGGAGUGAGCGCAGGACUUAUCUUUUUGUAUAUAUGAACAAUAGUUACAAAAAUUAAAUAAAUAAAACAUAAAUAGACUCCAUGGAGCUUUUCUUUAACAGAAUAUGAAUGAUAGGAACUUUUAGAUAUUUGCAUUGCAUUUCUAGAGAUGAACUCCAUUAUUCCUGUAGUUUAACAGUUUUCUGAGUAGUUUUGUUUUAGUUGUUCGUAUUUGCUAUAAUUGUUACUUAGAAAGCUAUACCUUGGCUGGCAUAAAACGUUAAAGGGACACAUAGAGCCAUUCAGUUUAUUUGUUUUUAGUUAACAAAUGCCAAACAGACAUCAUCGACGUGUGAGAUAUCAUUCAUAUCAUAAAAGCCAUUCCUCUCAACUCAACCCACUCUGCCUAUUUCACUUGAAUCUUUAGGCUGGAUUUUUGAUUUUGCAGUGUAAACCAGGGCAGAGGGCUUUGUUUGGCUGCCUGAUUGCCAUGCUUACUUCAUUGACUGCUAGCCACAUCUACCUCCAGCUGUCAAGAAAUUCAGCUAUAUUAGUUGCUGCUAUUUACCCUACCUAUUGAAGAGAGCAGUAUUGCAGUAAAACAGCUAUAAUUUGGCUUUGCAAGUAGUACAGUGCUUUAGGGGAAGUAGAUAGAGAUGCAGCUAAGAUUGGAAAAAUCGUCAGUGGGAGGUAUAUAAACUGGACCUUCUAUAAAUGUGGGCUUCAUGUCUGUGGCAAAAAUAAAGUCUUUACAGAAAAAAAACAAAAAAAAAUAUUUCACUGUUGAUGUUGGCAAAUAUGUGGAUAACGUUCUUUGAUCUUAACACACCAAAAUUUAAAGCAGAUCUGUACUUUUCCCCUCUGCCUAGGUAUGUCCCAAACUCUCACUCUGCUGCCUUUUUUUUUAUAUAAAUAAGCUAAUUUUUAAAGUUAGGCUAAUAAAAAAAGUAGGAACUACUUUUCCGUUAUGUGUAACCUUCAAGUGUUACAACACUGGUACUCUGUGUUGACUCUCAUGUGAGAGUCUACACUGGUCCUUUUAAAAGGCUUGGGUGAACGCGUUAUUCGACUUACAUACCCAAAGAAGACAGAACAUGGAAUUCCCAGCCACUCAUUUCCUGAAACACAAAACUGCUGGAGUGGCACAACGUUGAUAAAGGUAAGUUGAACCAGACCUUGUGCCUGAUGACUAUGGGGUCAGUUGUGCUAUAGGGAGGUAUCCUUAGGUUGGGACGAGGGCACCAAAUGACAGAUGCUUUAACUUUGGCCUUAGUGCAACAUGUUGUGUAACAUAAAACUGGUAAUCACCAUGAGAACAUCAUUUGAUUGGUAAAGCAUGAUUAGCUUUGUGGGGAUACUUUUUAAUGACAAGUGAGAAUAUAGUCCGGAUUGGGGCAGUCUUGAUGGAGCCUCUACAGUUUUUAGGUGAACAUCUUUCAAUCUGCAAGACCUCUGAAUUGGGGAGGAGACUAGCCUGGCAGGAUAUUGACACUACACACACCGCUAAAGCUACACUGGAGUGGUUUAAGAACAAAAAGACUGUUUAACGGUCCCCAUACAACUGACAGGGCUUGAGCAAAUUUAUUGAAACUAAUUGUCAGGAUCCAGAUAUGUAAACCUGAUGGACUCUGCCAAUUGCAGCCAAAGGUAGUUCUAACUAUUAUCUCAGAGCAUAUACUUGUGCAUCCAAAAAAUGUCUUGUUUUGCCACAUUUCAUUAACUUGUGUGUGUCAGAGCUGAUGGCAUAUGUGAGCAUGUAAUUAUGCAAGUUUUACCCAUUUCCACGUUUUACCAAAAAGCAAGUCCUAUGAGACCAUGUUGCCCCUAUCUUGUCUAAUGUAUCAUCUUUGUUAGCAUUUCAAUUAAUUUUCAAUAGACACUAUGUUUUUCAUGUAUAUUUUAUCUUUGUGAGAGCUUCUCCCUUCUUUCUUCAGGAAUAAUCAGACAAGGGGCUUAAGUGAUUGUUUAAAGCAGCACUGUCAAGGCCACAUUUUUUUUCAUUUGUAACCCCCCCCCUUAGACUCCACUACAUCUAAUUGUCCCUCUAGUCACCCCCAUAUGCCCCUAGUGCACCGAUUUCACCCUUAUUAACCUGUUGGUUCUUGCCCGGACCUAGGUCCUGGACACCGCCAUCUUGGUGUGGACAGUUGAUAGCCUUGUGGGACAAGUCAUCUGCCCACAAUAGAUAGCACAGUGAAAUUCCCACGCAUGCCCAGUUUAAGUUUGGCAUUCACUAUUGUCCGAAAUUCGGAUGAGAAAUUUGGCCAUUUAUUCAUCAUAAAGACCAAUGAACGAAUAGAAAUUACAAAGAAUGAAUCGUCUUCAAAUGAGCGAAGACUGUUCCUUUACAAGGACGGAGCUAGCAGCUUGCGGCUCCCUGCCUCUUAAAAUAUACAUAAUGCCCCUACUUUCUCCUCCCCACCACUCCCCUCUUUUUGUAAUUUAAGGGCACCCACCACCACAGGCUGCUCACUGUUUAGUAGAUAUGUGGCAUAGCAAGUAGGGGCAGGAGGAAGAUUUCAAUUUCCCUUAUUUACUAAUAAUUUUUACUUUAGUAUUAGUAAAGUAGGCUUACAGACGGAUUUUGCUCUUUCAGCUUUUUAGUAGAUAGCUCCCUAAUUCCCACGGUAUUAUGGAACUAUCUACUAAGUGGCUGCAAGAAUUGGAUACAAAUUAAAUUUUUGAACCGAACAAAAUGCACAAAAUUCUGUUUAAGCUUCAAGUGAUUUUUACAUUUCUAUUCAUAAAGAUUACUGGAUAUACUAAUGGAAAAAUGAUACUUUGUUUUAUUCUUUUGAACAAAACUUCUUGAUCCUGCAAACUGCCUCUUAAGUAUGUUGCAACCUUCUGCUCAUGAUGCAAUACAACUUGGUCUAUAUGCCGCCAGUUUAAAUGCAAAUCAUUGACCCAACAGCAUGCAUGAAUCAUUGAAGGUGUGGCAUUGGUUUAAAGCCUCUAGUGCUGAUAAGCUGGAUACGGAACAGUUUAACAAAGCAUCCGGCAGAGUUGGUGUGACUUUGGUUUUAUAUUUUGACUGGAUGCAAAUUACAGUUUAAAUAUAAUUGUUCCUAUUAAACUAUGUUUCAGUGGCUGAAUCUGCAAAAUGUUUGGUCACGUGUUAAAUUGCUCAGUAAAAUUAGCUCAGCCUUUUCUUCUGUUGAAACUAAUAAAAUGAAUACCAUUAUGCCGUAGAGCAGGGGUCAGCAACCUAUGGUACUCUAGGUGCCUUGGCACAGCACUCAAGGCUGCUCCUGCCAUUGACCUGCACCUGGCUUGCAUGGUCUCCACUGGUGGGAAGCCACUUACAUUGCUAGAUAUACACAGAGCUGCAGUCCCGACAAACAAUGCCACUGACCAUGUAAAUACACGCACAUAAUUCCACAAGCUGACGUCAGAUCAGCAUGCGCGCAUUCAAACCGCCCAUAGGAAAGCAUUACUCAAUGCUUUCCUAUGGACGUCCAGCGUCUUCGCGGAAGCACCUCUAGCGGCUGUCAGUGAGGGGUAGGUAACCUACGGCACCAGUGCCAUGCACGGCACUCAAGAUGUCUUUGCACGGCACUCAAGGCUGCUAGAGCCAAACAGGCUCUGGCCUAUCAGGAGUCCCUGUAAAACUUAAACUAUCUGCUAAUACAAAAAGAUGGUGAAGGGCAAUCCUUAAUUUAAGCAUUGCAGCACAUAGAGGAAAUGAUCUCAGAUCACUUCCUCCAAGCACUUGUGAAUGGGAAUACACAACAUAGUAGAGCAGCCUGCAGCUGCUGUUGCAGCUCCUGUCUUUGACCUGUACCAGGCCAGCCUGGUCCCCACUGGAACCCAGGGAAGCCAACCAUACUGCUAGGUAUACACAGAUAUUGUGGAUCAAACCAAGUGUUUAUCUGAGUAUCUGCUCCUUUCCUAAUUGUUAAAAUAAAUGCGUGCACGCUCUGAAGUAAAUUACACUGAGACACAGGUAUCAGGUUAAUGAAAAACUUCGGAAUGUUUACUCAGGGGGCGGCAAGCCCCUUUUAAAGGCAAAAAUACAUCAAAUGCAAAAAUGUAGAUAAUAGAGAGAAUACAUCUUUAAUUGGUUAGGUGUUAAGUGUUUUAUCUAAUGCACAUCCUACUAGGCGUGAUGUCACCAUCAUCCCAGGAUUUUACUCCAGAUGUAGGCGCCAUCUUUAUAAAAACAAGGUAGUUAGUCGGUGGGAGGGGGUGCUCUAGCAGCCAUUUUGAUUAGAUAUUGAAUACAGGUAUACACAGUAAAUAGACCUUUUUACUAUCACUAAUUUACAUUCAUAACACAGAAAUGAAGAAUAACCCUCCCCUUAUACAAAUACAGCCCACACACAUACACACAAUCUGCACAAACUCAACCCGCUAACAAUCCACAUACAUGCACACAUCCCCACAUGCAGCCUCUCACAUGCAAUACUCCAAACAGCCCACACACACUACCAAACACACAAUGUGACAUAUCCAUCCACACACAAUUCCACAAGCAGCAGAUCACAUUCAUAUGUAUCAUACACAAUACCAUAAACUACUAAUGAACAUAUACAAUAUAAUGGCUUAUAUACGCACAAAUACAAUGAUGCAAAGCAACUGCAGUAAAAAUAACACAAGCAGAAUACAGCAGCAUACACACCUCAAUUUAAAAAAAAUAGGACCGGCAUGCUACGGGACAUCACAAUCCUAUAUUGGCACAGUGCUGCUAAAAGGUUGCCUACCCCUGCACUAGAGGCUGGAUUAACCCUCAGUGAAACAUAGCAGUUUCUCUGAAACUGCUAUGUUUUCAGCUGCAGAGUUAAAACUAGAGCUGAAGUGGUCUGGAUGCCUAUAGUGGUCCUUUUAAAGCACAUACAUUUCAAAGUAAAUUCAGUAGAAAUUAGUACUAUUAUUAUUACUCCUUCCAAAAACACAUACAGAUUGCAAAUGAGGGUGCGGAUUUAGCGUAUAUUGAAGAUGCACACCUCUGGAAGUAAAACUGGUAAUCAAACAAAGUAAUUUUGUGUUUAAUAUUUUUGUUUCAUAUUAAGAGCAGUUUUCCCACUCAGGUGAGGUAUGCGAACCAUAAUAAACAUACUUCAUAAACAUUUGCCACUUUGUGCGUUACACAUCAAGUUAGAACAGUCAAUGCCUAGUAAGGCGAAAAGGGUAAUGCAUUUGAACAUAAGUUACAUACUAAAGGUUAGGCAGAUAACAUAAUGCACAUCAGUUCCGACUUUAGUAAUAAUAAGCCUCUCUCAGCAUCCCAUUGUUCAGUCGGCAUAUGUGACCAGUAAAAGUUUGAGCUAGAUAUGAACUGAAGUUUAUGCGCUGUUGUCUAUGCUAGAUUCUAACGGGUCAGGCUAAGUAUGUUACAUAACGUUUUAUGUCCAUUCUUGACUUAGUAUUACUAGGCAAUGUGCAGCACCCCGAUAGUACGUCCAUGCAUGUUGGCAGCGAUGAGUUUAACUAUGGCUUAACUAAAGGGCACACCAUUAGACUAUGUCUGAACAUAUAGUGCUGUAUUUGUUAACUAAGUCUAGCUAAAGAAUUGGAGAUCCGCUCAGGAAGGCUCCCAUUAAAUGUAUGGUCUGGCUUUAAAGCAGUUUAACGCCUAUGGGCCAUUUUGAAUGUUCUCAAGAGUUUCCAGGUGCUUCUACUUGGUGGCCCCCUUGGGACUGCAGCAGGAGAGCGUCCAUAUGUGAAGCUCAUUGUAAGGGUUCUUGUUGCAAGUCCAGGCGUUAGUUAUUUCAUUUGAACCUUGUGUGCAGGACGAAGGGUUGUGUGAUCUGGCUGGCUGAAUGAGAGCAAUGCGGGUUUGGCCCCUGUUGGCUUGUGGAGCAUGUGGAGUGUCCGGUCGCAUGCAUAGUUCACGUGGCAGCCAGCGUCAUCUGCUUUCCCCGGGUGCCCGGUCCCCGUCCGGCCCCCCAUUUCAGUCCAGGCCGCCUCCCGCAAGCACCGCAGUCCGGUGGGCAUUCGGGGGCGACAUGUGCUCCUGCGGUCCCCCUCCAAGAAUCUGCAUACUCUGUGCCCCCUGCACCUCCCCCAAAUGGGCCACAUGGGCAGUCCGUCCGCAGUCUCUGCCAUCCCGGGUCUUCAUACGGGCGCUGGUGCCUUUGUGCACGGGCUAUCCGCCCUCCGCUCCACUCUUCUAGCGGGUCUCAUCUUGGCAGCCUCUGCCAGUUCGGGGAUUGGCAUGGGCCGGGGGCGGAGGCUUCCGCCCCGGUGAGUGCAGUCCCUGUGUGGCCGUGGCGCAGAAGGCAGUUAUCACCGGGUACAGACAACCCCUCCACUUUCAGAAAUAGUCGCCUGAGGACACUUUAUGGUGAAAAAUACAUAUCCUUUGCGCUAUUACACUCCACGGAAUGCCGAACCUUUGAGUUCCCACUACUGAUUUAUCUGUUGCCACUGUUUCAUAAUUCUGUUAUGUUACGUGCUAUACCUGAGCUCUCUGGACCCUAGAAUUUGCUACUAAUAGAUUACAAAUAGAGAGUUACGGGACCCCAGGGGCUCGAGUUACGGGUAUAAGUAAAAUGUUUGUAUUUAACACACAUAUAUAAGGUGAGAGGUGAGUCUAUACCUCCCCAAAUAAUUCCACGGUUUACAUCCAGUUCCUCCCAAAGUAACCAGGCUGCUCACCCCCAGAGAGUUGCCUGAAGCUACUUGUGGACAAUAUAGCGUCUCCCACAGGUGUGGCAACAUACUCCAUUUCAGUAUGAGCAAUACUGACCAUACUUUUGUAUAUAGUUACGGUUUUCUUUUUGUUUUUCUUUUGCCUUUCUGCCUUUACUUUCACAUCCUGCACAUUACUGUUAUGGUGUUUCCUCUAGGGCUUUAAACCUAGCAAGAUACAAACCACGCCUUCCAUAUGGCCCAAAUUAAUCUCUUGUCACUAAAUGCGAGAGGCCUCAAUUCCCCAGAGAAACGUACUAUGCUAGUGCAGGAGUUAGACAGGUAAUGGGCCAACAUCAUGUGUAUCCAGGAAACCCACCACAAGGGAGACUUUCAACCGAGAUCUAAAAGAAUACACCAGAUAUAUUAUGGGAAUUAUCGUUAGGGGAAAUCAGGGGAGUUGCAAUUUUGAUGUCAUCCCAUAUUACUUUUACAGAGCUCGAUAACAAAAUUGACCUGGAAGGGAGGUUUUUAUUUAAGGGGAAACUCAACGAUCAUCUCAUUACUGUGGCAAAUGUGUAUGCGCCACACCCUGGAAAGGUAUCCUUUGCCUGCUCAUGCCUGAGGAAACUUGAGGGUUUCACUGGGGACCCUAUUUGUGGAGGGAGACUGGAACAUGGUGCUGGAGCACUCACUUGAUCGCUCCUCUAAAGCCAAAGAUGCCCAACACCACCAGCAGACACUGUUAAACACGCUACAAUCACAUCAACUGAUGAACUGCUGGCGACUAAUGCACCCACAAGAAAAGGAUUACACGUUCUACUCCGCAGCAGGUAGCUACUCUAGGAUAGAUAUGUUUUUACUGGGCCACAGGCUCCUCCAUUUGCUCAAAGGAGCAUCUAUUGGAAACAUCACGUGGUCUGACCAUGCCCCUGUUUUCCUAACCAUAGCCCUGCAGGGGGUCGCCAGGCGUAAUACAAACUGACGCUUAAAUGAGACCCUUCUAAAUGACCCAAGAGUGAUGGAAGAUCUCAGCACAACACUAUCCAACUACUUUACAUAAAACACCACACCACGCCAGACAUGACCAACCCUUGGGUAUGGGAAGCUCACAAGGGGGUCAUCAGGGCUGUUUUGAUCAAGUGGGGAACUAGAAUUAAAAAGGAAUGCACAAAAAAAAAAAAAUACACUCCCUUACUAUCACCAUACACGAGGCAGAGACCAUUCAUAAACUGGCCCCUACUCAGGAAAAUUUCCAACGCCUAACUGCACUCAGAGUACAACUCCGCUAGCUACUAGCCCUAAAAGCACAUAGAGCGGUCCAAAUGACGCGGUGCUCAUUUUAUGCUCACGGCAAUAAAAGUGGGAAAUUACUGGCUAGGACUUUGAAAACGAGACUACAGAAAACAUUUAUAGUUAAAAUAGAGACGGGCACAGUACAACACAACUGAAGACCUAGCCUCUUCAUUUAGUGACUUCUACCACAACCUCUACAACCUUACCCCUCCACCCCCUCAGACCUGAGGGAAUAUAUUGCCUCAAACCUUACUGUACCUAGCACGGUAGCAGACCAAUUAGAAGCGCAAUUCACACUUGCAGAACUCUCCUCAGCCGUUAAAACCAUGGCGAAAGGCAAAAGCCUGGGCCCUGAUGGCACGCUCUUACCAAUUGUUUGAAUCUUAUCUGGGACCACAUUUACUACGAACAAUCAGUGGAUUGACCCCUGGUUCCCUUCUUCCACCACAGAUACAACGAGCAUCGAUUACUGUCAUCCCUAAACCAGGGAACAACCCAACGUCCUGUGGCAGCUAUAGGCCAAUCUCUCUUAUAAACUUGAAUCUGAAGUUAUUCACCAAACUUAUAGCCAACAGGCUCAAGCCUCUUCUGCCUGGACUGAUUCACACUGAUCAAGCUGCAUUUGUCCCUGGUCGUAAAACCAGGGACAACACCACCAAGAUACUAAACUUCAUACAUGGGGCGACCACAGCCAAAACACCAACACAGAAAAAAUAAAUCUUUGUGUGGCCUGGAACAGAGUUUUGUGAGGGUGCCACUGCACACACUCCCCAGGCAAACGUGCCAACUACGCAAUCUCUCACCCAUUACAGUACUCAUACAACACACCCUACAGACUUGGAAACAACAUAAAAACGCAUGGAAACUGGCCAGGGUUGUCCGUAUUCUUUCCCCUGUCGACUAACCCGGAGUUCCAUAAUGGUCAGGGAAGCACAAUGCUUUCACGGUUAACAGGAGACCCUAACCCUGACAUAACAAAAGUUCUGGCAGAGGAUGUUCCACCUAAAAUACAGGAACAGAUGGGUGAAACACUACUAGAUAUUAUGGGAUCAUCACGAUUGGAAAAUUUCCUGAACCAGUCUGUACUGUCAACCCAGAGACAAAACUCCCAUUGAGCUUCUGUGUGGCCCAGGUAGUGACCCUAGAUGCCCACUUUCUAAAAUAUAUCACAUACUCCAAGCAGACUCAGUGGAGCAACAUGAGGUUUCAUUUCAACAAAAAUGGAUGUGGGGUUUACACAUCCACAUGACCAAUAGGGACUGGAGAUAUAUUCUUAAAACAGGGAUGAAAAUCCCAGUCAGUAUUUCUCAAAAGGAGACCUUCUACAAAAUGAUCACCAGAUGGUAUAGGACCCCAGUGCAGCUCCAUACCUACUGGCAAAUGGUCAGCGACAUUUGCUUGAGAUGUAACAAUGAGCCAUAGAACACAUUUGGUGGCUUUGCAAAAACAUUAGCCCAUAUUGGCAACAAAUGCUUGCAGCAAUUAUCCAACUAAAGGCCCAAUUAACCCCGUCUCCGGUUCUGCUCGGAUGGCCAUCUGUCUCUGAGAGAAACAUAAGCAGGAACUACUGAACCUUCUAUUAGGAGAAGAAAAUGCACAGUACAAUUCCAGUGUACUGGCGUCAGACUCAAAUACCGACUAGAGAACAGUGGGUACAAAGGGUGGAGAAAAUGAGGUAAUUUGAAGAAAUACACUGGUCAGUAAAAGGGGAAAAAAGAUAAAUAUUUAAGAGUAUGGGAACCCUGGAUCCAACAUUGGAGGGACCCCCCAGGCUGAAAGUCCAGAGAAUUUGGCUCGCAAGCCCUAUAUUUAACCCCGUAACAUUCAAGGACACCAUAAAACCUGUACAUGGGGGUUACUGUUUUAGUCGGGAGACUUUGCUGAACACAAAUAUAUGAUAUCGUCAGUAAAAAUGUAGGUUUUUCACACUCAAACGGUACUUCCACUGAUAAUAUAAUUAUUCCAUUGGGCUGAAGGGGUUAAAACUCCUUACCACUUACCUUAUUCCAGCACUGGGCUCCCUCGGUGCUGGUGACCUCUCUUCCCCCUCUGACGUCAGCUCCCGAGUGGAGCUGAAUGCGCAUUCAAACCGCCAAUAGGAAAGCAUUACUCAAUGAUUUUUGCAUUGAACUUGGUGGAAGACAGCCAUUAGAGCUGCAGGGUUACAACCUGGGGGACCUGGCACCCAGACCAUUUAAUUGGUCUGAAGUGGUCUGGGUGACUAUAGUGGUCCUUUAAAUUGUAUGGGAUGCUUUUCUUGUUACAAAAGAACAGACCUUAAAGUUGUCAAUUUGCACAAUAGUAUGCAAUCACAGGGUGCAGAUAAGUACAGUGGGCAAGCACAGAUUACGGAGCAUGUGAUAACACAAGUGACAGAUUAUGAGUCACAUGUCCAGAUUUACCCAGGGAAUGAAUGCCACUUAUCUUGUGCCAAGUCGAUUUACAAGCACAUUUUAGCAGUAUGUUGCAGAUGGGUGUAGAUUUAAGUUACCUGAAGGAUGUUAUCGUGCCAUGGUCUUUUCGACUCGUGGCUGUAAAAUACAGACAAACUUGAAGAAUAGCACUUAGACCAGCUAUUCGCCUAUCCUCUAUACUAGAGUGGAUUUUAAGCAUGCAAACAAAAUCUGACUUGGUCAAAAUAAUGUUGUAUUGCAGCUUUUAAAUUCAUCAUGGUGGUGACUAAAUCUGAAACAAUAAUUUCCCUGAAGAAGUCGGGAACAAAAUCUUUUGGGUUGUUUAUCUCAAUGAGAUUUUAGUUUUAUUUUUUGUAUCCCAAAUGCACAUUACACAUGUGGACUAUAGAAAAUUACUUGACUAUAAACUGAAAUGUGUAAACAAAUAUAUAAAAAAGUGAAAGUAUGCUUUCGUAAUUCUUAAAUUCAUUAUUGUUUUAUAUGACUUUUCAUUGUUUGAUUCACAGAUGUUAUAGCUGUACUAUUACUUCACUUGGCACCAAACCACUUCAUUUUUUUGGGGGGAGUUAACUGCAUUGUGUAAUAGAAAAUAUAACAAAAUAGUAUUUAGGUUUACAUUUUAUCUGUGCAUCAAGGCACAACACAAGUUAAAAUAAAGUUAUGAUUUUUUUUGUUUUGUUUUUUUAAUUAUUCCUGAAUGUUUGCUCACUUCGCAGGGUUCCUAUAAAUUUUGACCCAUAGAUUUAUUUAUUUUUUAUUUUAUUGAAAAUUAAAGUGUUAAUAGUUUGGUGCACAAACAAGCCAAGCAGAAGGGUAAAAUCAAUGCCCAUGCGCUGUAAUAAUUUAAUCUGGUCUUUAAGUGUGAAUAUUCAAUAAUACAGACAGCUAUGUAGGACGUUUUAUGAAGAGCCUCUAGCUAAUUGAUUACUAAAUUACCCUUUUUUUUUUUCUUUUUCUUUUUUUUUUUUAACAGAUUCAGAUGGUUCAGAGAAAUUUACUGGCAAAAUCUCUGAAUCAUUGUCAAACGUCUUCCACUAGUUAAUUGCAAAGCUCGCUUAUGCCUUUGUGACUAUAGUCCUUCACAGUGAAGCAAUCUUUUGUGCAGAGUCACAUCCCCGGUAGUUAUUGAUCUAACAUUCUCUGUUCAGUGCUGUGUAUCUGAAAACAGCCUUGCUUGCCAAUUUACUAAGUUGUUAUAUGCUGCCAGUACUUGUAUGGUAUGAUUUACAUUUAUAUUAUGGCAGAUUUAAUUGACAUUAUGUGGCAGUUUUAUUGAAGAUCUAUAACAGUGGUGGCGAACCUAUGGCACGCGUGCCACAGGUGGCACGCCGAGCCCCCUCUGUGGGCACGCGGCCAUAGGUCGCCGGAGGGAGGGAGGGUGCGCUCCGCCGGCGCAUCCAUAAGGCGGCACAAGUGGCCGCCUUAGGGCGCACCGGCCCGACGGGCGCAAAGCCGGAGUGACCGGCAGGAGGUGAGCGCACAGCGCUCCCUCCUGCCAGGCACUCUGUGUAGCGUGGCCGAGCGCACCGCGGUACAGGAACUUAUGUUUCCUGUACCCGGGCGGACAGAAAUGAAGUGCUCACAGAGAGAGCACUUCCUGUCCGCCGGGUACAGGAAACUGAGCUCCGCGGUGCGCUCGGCCACGCUACAAGGUAGGAGCUCAAGGGGGGGGGACCUGAGGGAGAGAUUGGGNNNNNNNNNNNNNNNNNNNNNNNNNNNNNNNNNNNNNNNNNNNNNNNNNNNNNNNNNNNNNNNNNNNNNNNNNNNNNNNNNNNNNNNNNNNNNNNNNNNNACAUACACACAGCACCCCUGCCCUACACACAUCACCCCACACACACACACACCACCUCACAUCACCCCACACACACACACACACACACCACCUCACAUCACCCCACACACACACACACACACACCACCUCACAUCACCCCACACACACACACACACACACACACCACCUCACAUCACCCCACACACACACACAUCACCCCACACACACACACACAUCACAUCACCCCACACACAAACACAUCACCGCACACACAAACAUAUACACUGUACCCCUCAAUGCAGUGUGUGUAUUUAGCAGUCUGUGUGUGUGUACACUCAGCAGUCUGUCUGUGUGUGUGUGUGUGUGUGUAUUUAGCAGUCUGUGUGUGUGUGUGUGUGUGUGUGUAUUUAGCAGACUGUGUACUCAGCAGUCUGUGUGUAUUCAGCAGUCUGCUAAAUACACAUACAGAGAGACUGCCGAGCACACACACAAACUGCUUAAUACACACACAGAUGUUAAUUAGUUCGGACAACUGUAUGAGAUGUUUUUUUUAAACUUAAACCUCAAUAUUCAGGUUUAAUUGCCGUUUUGGCACUUUGAGGGGAAAAAAAAUUGGCAUGUAUUACGGUUUGGGCACUCGGGCUCAAAAAGGUUCGCCAUCACUGAUCUAUAAUAUAAAUGUUUUCACAUCUUUCAAUUCUAAACAUUUAUAAACAAUGUGCAAUUGUAGUAAUCUUUAUUUAUAUUGUAUAUUUUUCACGUGUCCUCCUUAGCGCUGCAACAAACAAUUAUUUUCAUAAUUGAUUAAUCGAAUGAUUUAAAGUUUUUUUCGAUUGGUCGGAUAAAAAAUAAUUCAAAACCUUUUAUUUUUUUUAAUCUAAAAUAAAAUCGGUAAAACGAGUGUUAUAAAUGUGAACUUCAGACUUAAUACUUUGCAUUAACACAACUGUUAGUCCAGAUUUUAAGCAUUUUUAAAAAAACUAUUUUUAUAAUUAAGCAAAGCAAAACAACGAAGUGCUCGAAAAGAGGUAAAACCAGAAAAAGGUAGACUAUUGCUAUUUAUAACAUUAUUAACUCUUCCAGAAACUUUGAAUUUAAAUGCUAAUUUGUCAUGUCCACGUGCUCCUGGCCGAGGCUGGCUCUAUUUUAAUCAUUAAUAUUAUUUAUAAAGCACCAACAGAUUCUGCAUCUCUGUCCAAUGGGAGGACUAACAGACAAGUAUUUGUAACAAAACGAGUUGGAUGCACAGGAAUAAAUGGUGUUGACCGCCCUGCUCACAUAAGGUUAAAUUCUAGAGGGAAUAGGGGUAAAGUGCCACAAGAGGUAAAGGUAGGAAGUAUUUCAUGUAUGGGGGUAAAAGUAGGCUACUAGAAUAAUUUUACAAUGAAGGGAGAUAUAUAUCCUGAGGAAGACCCGAACGGGUCGAAUUGUUGAUCAAACAACCUGUAAACCUUUGAUGGAUUAAAGACUGUUAAUAUUCUUAAAAAGACCGGAGAGUGCAUCUUUCUUCAAUAUAAUUUUUAUAUAUAUAUAUAUAUAUAUAUAUAUAUAUAUUUAUAUUUAUGUAGUAUUUACAGGAGAGGAAGCAGCGUGGAUUACGAUGGUGCAGGAAAGGAAAGCUUUUAACUGUUUGAUAUCCUCUCCUUAACACUGUAACAGAGCAUGCUGGGAACAUGUAAGUCCACUGAGAGCAGAUUACAGUAGUCAAGACGAGAGUUGGACCUGCUAUGUUUUUGAGAUUGAAUCGGUAGGAUUUGGUGAGUGACUAAACAUGAGGGGCGAAAGAGAGGUUGAAGUCAUAGAGAACACUUAGGCAGUGAGCCUGUGAGGUAGAGUUGAUGGUAGUGACUUUGAGGAGACUAAAACGGGAGUAACAACAAAUGAGAGGAAAGAUGAGAAGCUUUGUUUUUAUUUUUUUGGUUUAAAAAACAAAAACAAAAAACUGCCAUACAGUUAGAAAUAAUAGAGACUGUCAGACACGCGUCAAAAGGAAAGACGAGAGAUCAGGAGAAGACAGAUUUGCAUAGAAGUGAGAGAGUAGCAAACACUGGAUUUAGCAGUAAUUAAAUCACUGGAUGCUCUGGUCAAGGCAGUUUCAACAGAGCGACGAGCUUGGAUUCCAAACUGAAGCGGAGUUAGUCGAGCAGAGAGUUGGGUUCAAGGAAGCUGGGCAAUCUUGCAAACUAAACUCUCUAGACUCUUGUAGGCAAACGGUAGUAGCAAGAUAGGGCAAGCUAUGUUGCCUGCAGCAGAGAAGAGACACUCUGAUUGUGUGAAGGUGCCUGGGAUGCAUAAAUAGGAUUUUGCCAGUUUCGCCAUGGUUGCAUAUUUACUUUUAUCGUUCUACCAAUGCAAAGGGAUUUCAUCCUUGAGUAAGCUUGGACAUAAUUUCUAACUUGGCUGUUGAUGUCCUUUUGAGGUUACCUCUCUUUAUUACCUUCUUCAUUGUUGUUUCCAGACUCAAGAAGUGAGUCAAGCAAAGUGGCAGACGGUGAAGUUUUAGCAACUGUAGGUACGGUUGAGGUUGUCAUUUGCUUGCACCAUCUCCCUUCUAACUGCAAGCUCCUCUGUUUGCUUUCACAUAUAUAAUUUGUUUGGGUGUCAGAAAUGUCAGACUUCUGAAACCAUCAGAUACUGGUCCGCCAUGCCUCUAAUCCAGUAAGUUUGCAGUAGGAAUCACAUACUUUGCAGCUACCUCCUCUACCAAUUCUGCAAUGUAUCUUGCUGUAUGUCUGUCUUUAUUGUAGCAUGUUAGUGAUGCAGACAGACGUUAUCUUCCACAUCUUUUAUUGAUUAAUUGGCAGACCAAAUAAUAUAUUAUUAUAGAUUAUCAAUUUUAAUGAUUAGUUCUUGCAAAUUAAGUGCUGUUUAUUCAUCUUAUUUUAAUGGCUUGUGAUGCUGCGUGACUGGUGAAUGGCUUUCUGAGAAGCUUGAUGUGUCUAAUUGUAACUGUAGCCGUCACUAGGGUAUAGCUCACUCUUGCAACAGCGUAGUUGGAGAUCAUGGAGAACACUGUUCUAACUGUUUUUGCUAUUUUGUUUUAAAGGAAUCCUAUAGUGCGCACCACCCUCCCGCAGGGCUGAAGGGGUAAAAACUCCUUCAGCCACUUACCUGAAACUUCAGCCGGCAGGGGAGACCUAAUGCACCUGCAUGGCAUUAUUCAUUGCUUUCCUAUGGUGAAAAUCUGAUGCUGGAGGUCCGUGAGGACAUCCAGCGUCAGAUAAUGGACCAAAAGUCAGUUUUGUCUGUUAUACUGCCACAGAGGGCAGACUUAGAGCUUCAAUGUAAACAUUGCAGCACUAAGUGCAAAAGGGUCACAGCACCCAGACCACUUCAAUUAGCUGGGUGCCUACGGUGUCCCUUUAAAUCACAAAUUGAAUUGCAUCAUUGGCCAACUAUUUAAUAUGCUAUUGAUAUAUUGCAUAGGGAUCGACCAUUAUUGCUUUUUAGGGCCGAUAUGCGUAUACCGAUAUUCUGUACGUUUAGUUUUGAAAAGAGAAACAAUUUCUAUACACAACCGACAAUGCACCAAUCCUUUUUUUUUUUUUUUUAAUUUAAUGUUCCCCUCUUCCUCUACCUUUACUCUCCACUCCCAUCACAACAAUAACAAAUAAAGAAACUUCUCUAUUACAAAUGUAUUUAUUUCUAUUUAACUAGUGUUCUUUAACACGUGCUUCUACAUACCAUGUCCCAGCCACGCCUGGAAAAAACCAAACCAAUAGCUAUUAUUCAUGCUGCUUCCUAUAUUGUAAUCUUGUACUGGCAUGUUCAUGCACUGUUGCUAAAACACAUUUUAUUGUUUUUACAAAAUGUAUUACUUUGUGUAGUAGACCUCAUUGCCAUUAUUCAGUCACCUGUUAUACUUGAGUUUUUUCUAGUAUUGCAAUAAGUUCAUUAUGAGUAUACAAACCCACUGGCCAUUGGCAUAUAGAAAAAUUAAACUACAAAUAUGUUUGUUUAUCCUUUUUGGCUUUGUUUACAUAUUGUGCUCUAAAUAUUGAUAAAAGUUUCAAUUCUCUGCAUGGCAGACCACAGCAAUCUAUAAUCAAGUGUAUCUAAUGGUUCUGAGUAGCACUGCCUAGAUCCUUAGAACAAUGUAAAUAGGCUUCAUGCAGUCAUCCAGUUUAAGACGUGAAUUGUGAGUUAAAAAGAUUUACUAUUUAAUUUAAAUUCCCAAUUUAAGGUGUUUUAAGGACAACAACCUAACACUAUCUUAAUGGCACUGACUUUCUAAAUCUGUAAACAUUUGAAACAAGUGAAAACAUGUAGCUGUAUAUCCAUGUAAAAUCAUACAACAAACAAAAUAUAUCUUCUAAUAGAGAUACUGAAAAAACCUGAACUGUUGGUGGCCCCUGAGGACAGGGUUGGGGAACACUGAUAUAAAAUAUUUGUGGUUCUGUUUAUGUGGGGAGCAAGUCAUAAAAAUCUCUGGUCUGGUAACCUUUUGUCUAGUGGUGCAAACUGUUUCUUCCCUCUUAGUGUGUUGUAUUUGAAUUUUUAUUCUUGCAAGUCUGAAGUGUGUAUUGUUUGCUGAUUUGCAUUGUUUUUGUUUUAAAUUUAAUUUGUUCUUGGAAUACGUAAAUUUGUAUAGACCUAUUUACAGUACAGUUAAAAACAAUUCAUAUUUUACAUUUACACUUAUAAUUAUAUGGAUGAUGUUUUGAGACGAUUCAAAAUUGUGUUUUUGUGCUGCCCAGGCAACCAUAACUACUUUAUCUGAGUGUUGUUAUGGUUUCUGGAAGUCCUGAACGCUGUCUUACCUUAUGGGGUUAAACAAUUUACUUAUGGUUUAACCACAAAGUAGUCCUGAUGGUGCCUGUCCUUCAGGCCCCUCUUCCUUCUCUUCUAUUGAGAAAAAUGCAUGAUAAAGGUACAAAUACCUUGUGUGUGUUUCUCAAUUGGAAGCCAGUGAUCAGCUCAGAGUGUCAGUUGAUGCCCUCAGCCCAUCACUAGUGUCCAAUCCAAGUAUUCUACAUUGAAGGUGGAGAUAGAGGAAGAGCGGCUGUGUGGGCAAACGUCAUCUGGAUAAUGUUGGGGUUCAUAAGCUGUUUAACCCCUCAAAUUUAUAUGCUGUCGAGGACUUCUAGACACCAUAAAAACAUAAUUGGGAUAAAGUUGUGACGGUUCCCAGAAUGUUCCUUUAGACUUUUUUUUUUAUUAUUUAUUUUUUUUUUUCUUCCUAGUAAUAAAUAGCAUUGUGUCACUAAAGAUGUUUGUAGAGAAUUUGGGAGCAGCUAGCAUUGUGUUUAACAUUUGUUAAAUGACAUAUUUAUAUGCACUUUUUGUGUUGCAUUUUGAUUACUGACAAAGGAGAGUAGCAUGUCUGCAAUUAUGUAAUUUGGUUUGAAAGCAGUACAAAAGGUUUUUGCAAGUAAAGGAAAGACCUUUUAACCAGUUGACAUAUUGUGUUAUAGGUGAAAGGUAGCCUGCAUGCUUACGCAUAACUAGGUGAAAGUACAUUGACUGAUACAGUUAAACUUACAUAGAUCUUUAGUGAUUUGAGACAUUUUAACACCAAUGAGCAUUGCCUCUUUUUACUAAUGGAUACACUACCCAUACCUUAAAGAAACACUCCCACCCCAUAACAAUUUAAUCUCAGAAGUUAUGGGGCCUGGAGUGCCUGGGUGCUGUCUUUCCUUCAAGGGCUCCCCUGGCACCUGACAGCUAUUUAUAUUCCUUCAUCCAGUACUCCAGCUCAGUUUACCUAUCACUGGUCUCUUAUUGUAGUAAUAGUAUAUAAUAAUUUUUAGCUUUGCUAUUUUGAUCAAGAUUUUACAUUACUGACAAAAUGCUGAAAUAUUGCACCAUUAUAUGCUUUGUGUUUUUUUUUAUUAUUUUUUUAUUAUUACUUAAUUUGAUUUUACAUACGUUAACAUAGUUUUCUAACCUUUUUAUAUUUGAAUCUCUUUCCAGGGGUAAAAGUGUCAAGAAACCUGUACAGAACAAUGAGGUAAUGGGAUCAUGUGUAACUAAAAGGAGGAUUUGAGACAUGUGAUAUUUUUUUUUUUUUAGUGUGUUAACCUGGUGGUAUAAACUAGAGAUAGCUGACAUAGGCACAUCUCUGAAACCCAGACACGUGACGUGUUAAAGGGUCACUUUAAGGGUCACUUUAGAAGGGUGUAGUUGUUCUGGUGUCUACUGCCUGUCAUUGCAGGCUUUUUUAAUUCAGAGAAAAGGCAUUGUUUACAAUGCUGCCUAAGGACUCCUCCAGUGGCAGUCAUUCAGACAGCCACUAGAGGUGCUUGCUGGGCCAAUGCUGCACACGUUCUGCGUCUCCACGCUCUUAUUUCAAUGCAUCUCUCAGACAACUUGUUGAUUGCAGCCGUAGCCUCCAUCGGAAAGGAUUGGAUUGGUCAAAAUCAAUUGAUCUCAGGCAAGGAAGCGGAGCCAACUGCAGAAGCAGCACUGGAAAAAAGUUGAAUUUUACAUCUUUUUAUCGGGAUGCAACAGGGGCCAUAGACCUAAAUGGCGCUAUUAGUUUACAUGUUUGUAUUCCUGACUAUAGUGUUCCUUUAAAUAAUGGAGAUAAACUGAAUAUUAAAUGACAUGGGAAGUGACGGUUCCCUUUUAUGUAUUUAAACUAGGAGGGGGGCAAAAGGGUGAUAAAACAUCAAUCAAAUUGUCCCCCAAUACAAAGACAGAAGGUGCCUGUAGCAAGUGUGUUAAAAAAAUUAUAAGCUUAGUCAUGUCUACAAAUGCUCGUAGUUUAGGGAAUGUAAAAAAACUAGAUGAAUGGAUGUUAAUGUAGACUCUUUCUUAAUUUCUUCUUAUCUUCAGUUGAUUGAUAUAUAUACGUCUUUUGUAUAUAUAAUCUUGGGCCAAAUGCUCGCCACAAUAAUAUAUGUCUAUAUUAUUGAAAAGUAGUAAUACGCAAUCUGACUUACGGUUUCUUCCGGUUUAUUCUUUGUUACGGAUACAUAAUAAAGCAUAAUAAAUGAUGUUACAGGAUUAUAGACAUUCAACAGCAGAUGGUAAUUGCUGGACUUCUGAUGGGAGAGUUACAUCGUUGUACAGAGCCAAGCCAAGACAGGACUAAGACUGAGAGACCUCGUGUCCCUCUGUUACUAUAUAGAAGUGCUAAUAGUAACGUCAGCAUAUAACUCUAGCCGCUAUUACUGAGACAUGGUAUAAUGAGAAAAAUGACUGGGACAUAGCAAUACCAGGGUACCCUUUAUAUAGAAAAGACAGGGAAGGCAAGAAAGGGGGAGGGGUGGCCCUGUAUGUGAAGGAUAGCAUAAAAUCUAGCCUAAUGAAAGUUAGUGAGGUGAAUAUAGAGUCAGUUUGGGUUACGUUAGAAUUUGGUAAUCACACAGUAACUCGUGUAGGUGUUAUUUAUAAGCCCCCAGGACAAAUAGAAGAGUUAGAUAAUCUAGUAGUUGAGGAAAUGGCUAAAAUAACAAUGAAGGGGGAAGUUAUCAUCAUGGGUGACUUUAAUCUUCCUGAUGUGAACUGGAAAACCAAAAUAGCUGCUUGUGACAGGAGCACACAUAUUCUAAACUCCCUACUGGGAUUGUCUCUAAAACAAGUCAUUGAGGAGCCAACUCGUAAAGACGCCAUACUAGAUUUAAUGUUAACAAAUGGAGAUUUGCUAUUAGAUAUUACUGUAGGUAAAAGUUUAGGAUCCAGUGAUCAUCAGUCAGUGUGGUUUAAUAUAAGAACAGUGGCUGAGUCACACCACACAAAAACAAAAGUUUUAGACUUUAGCAAAAACAGACUUUUCUAAAAUUAGAAUGUGUCCAUCAUAUCAUUAUCAGACUGGAGCAAUUUAAAUGGAGUCCAAAAGAAAUGGGAUUCUUUAAAAGUUGUACUGCUGAAGGCAACAGAAAAUUGCAUUAGGCUUGUCAUUAAAAGCAAAAAAAGGAAACCACUGUGGUACUCCGGAAAUGUGGCCAAAAUAGUGUUAAAAAAAAAAAUUUAGCAUUUAGUAUGUGUGUAUAUUAAAAAAAAAAAAAGGGAGGAAGAUAGACAGAUCUAUAAGAUUAGGCAGAUAGAGCCUAAGCAAGGUAUAAAAGCUUCCAAAUCACACACACAAGAGAAAAUAGCACAAUUAGUAAAAAAAAAAAGGGACAAAACAUUUUUUAGAUACAUAAAUGAGAAAAGGAAAGUAAAGUUAGAUUAAAAAUAAAAGCAGGAUAACAUUCUAGCUGACUGCCUCAAUGAACAUUUUGUUCAGUAUUUACAGAUGAAAAUGAAGGAAAGGGGCCUCAGUUAGGAAUAAACAAAUGACAAAUGAGUCAUUUGUUACAUGUGAGUUUACAGAGGAAGAGGUUCUAUUUCAACUGUCAAAAGGAGACAAAUAAGUCAAUGGAACGAGAUGGAAUACACCCAACGUUAUGAAAAGAGCUUAGUGGUGUAGCAAAACCAUUAACAGAUUUAUUUAACCAAUCAUUAUAAACCGGAGUAGUCCCAGAAGAUUGGAAGUUAGUUGUUGUGCCCAUUCACAAGAAAGGUAGUAGGGAGGAGUCGGGCAACUAUAGGCCAUUAAGCAUUACAUCAGUAGUGGGGAAAGUAAUGAAAAUCAUGUUAAAGGAUAGGAUUGUUGAACAUCUAAAAUCACAUGGAUUUCAAGAUCGGAGACAACAUGGCUUUACUUCAGGGAGAUCAUACCAAACUAAUCUUAUUGAUUUUUUUGAUUGGGUAACUAAAAUAAUAGAUCAGGGUGGUGCAGUAGACAUUGCUUACCUAGAUUUCAGUAAGGCUUUUGACACUGUUGCAAAUAGAAGGCUUUUCAAUAAACUGCAAUAUUUACACUUGGAUUCCAAUAAUCUUGAAUGGGUAAAGCAGUGGCUGAGUGACAGGCAACAGAGGGUUGUAAUCAGUGGAGUAUAUACAAAGCAUGGUCUUGUCACCAGUGGUGUACCUCAGGGAUCUGUUCUUGGAUCCAUUCUCUUCAAUAUUUUUAUUAGUGAUAUUGCAAAAGGUCUUGAUUGUAAGGUACAGUAUAUACUCGAGUCAAUGUCUGUAUUAUGGCAACUUACAUCGCCAUAAUACAGACCAAGACCGCCGGGCUCAUUACAAGCCCGGCGGUCCUGUUGGGGGCUGGCAGCGAGCUGUAACUUACCUUUCCUGCAGCUCCCUUGUCCUCCGUGCUGGUCAGCUCCCACUGUCAGUCUCGCGAGAGCCAUGGGGUCAGAGCCGUGGCAACGCUCUGCGAGACUUACAGUGGAGCUGACAGGGGAGCUGACCAGCACGCAGGAGAAGGGAGCUAACAGGAGCUGCAGGAAAGGUAAGUUACAGCUUGCUGCCAGCCCCUCUCCUGCACAGUACACACCACUGGCCCCCAGGAAAUGAGAGCCCCCCUGCCUGGCCAUGUAUCAAGCAGGGAGGGGGACGGAAAUAAAUAAAAAUGUAAAUAAUAUUAAAAUAAAAAUAUAUAUAUAAAAAAAUUAAUAUUAAAAUAAUAAUAAAAAAAAUAAUAAAUGCCCACCCCCACCAAGGCUCUGCAUCACAUACACACAUCACAUACAUCACAUACACACGCUGCAUCACAUACACACACUGCAUUCAUACACACAUACACUGCAUUCAUUAUAUACACACAAUGUAAAUAAAUAUUCAAUUAAUAUAAUUUUUUUGAGAUCUGAUUUUAUUUAGAAAUUUACCAGUAGCUGCUGCAUUUCCCACCCUAGUCUUAUACUCGAGUCAAUAAGUUUUCCCAGUUUUUUGGGGCAAAAUUAGGGGUCUCGACUUAUAUUCGGGUUGACUUAUACUCGAGUAUAUACGGUAUGUAUUUUUGCUGAUGAUACUAAGUUAUGUAACAGGGUUGAUGUUUCAGGAGGGAUAAGCCAAAUGGCAAAUUAUUCAGGUAAACUAGAAAAAUGGUCAGAGCUGUGGCAGCUGACAUUUAAUGUGGAUAAGUGCAAGAUAAUGCAUCUUGGAUGUAAAAACCCAAGGGCAGAAUAUUUGAUAGAGUCCUAACCUCAACAUAUGAGGAAAGGGAUUUAGGGGUAAUUAUUUCUGAUGACUUAAAGGUAGGCAGACAAUGUAAUAGAGCAGCAGGACAUGCUAGCAGAAUGCUUGGUUGUAUAGGGAGAGAUAUUGGCAGUAGAAAGAGGGAAGUGCUCAUGCUGUUGCACAGAACACUGGUGAGACCUCACUUGGAGUAUUGUACGCAGUACUGGGGACCGUGUCUCCAGAAGGAUAUUGAUAAUUUAGUUUCUCUUCUCUAAACUGGUUCAUGGAUUGCAGGAUAAAACUUACAGGGAAAGGUUAAAGGAUCUUAACAUGUAUAUCUUGGAGGAAAGUCGAGACAAAGGGGAUAUGAUAGAAACAUUUAAAUACAUAGAGGGAAUCAACACCGUAAAGGAGGAGACUAUAUUUCAAAGAAGGAAAGACUGCCACAAGAAGAGGACAUAGUCUUAAAUUAGAGGGGCAAAGGUUUAAAAAUAAAAUCAGGAAGUAUUACUUUACUGAGAGGGUAGUGGAUGCAUGGAAUAGCCUUCCAGCUGAAGUGGUGGAGGUUAACACAGUAAAGGAGUUUAAGCCUUUGAAAUAGGCAUAAGGCUAUCCUAGCUAUAAGACAAGGCCAGGGACUAAUGAAAGUAUUUAGAAAAUUGGGCAGACUAGAUGGGCCAAAUGGUUCUUAUCUGCCGUCACAUUCUAUGUUUUCUAAUGAUUGUGCGGUUUCUUUUGUUUGUUUUUGUUCAAAUUAAAUCUAAAACAGUGAAGGUGAAUUAGCAAGGGAUUUUCAUCUUUUAGGCCAAAAUAUCUGAACUGGAGAAUUGUUCCUGUUUAUGUUGGCCUUAAAGGGGCAUUCCAGUCACCAUAACCACAUCAUCUAAAUUAUGUUAUGAUGCCAGGAGGCCCCCAGUUGCACUCUCACCUUAAGGAAUUAAACCUUUUUUGAACGGUUUCGCCCCAACUUGAGCCUACAUCGCUGAUCCUCAGAUUCUCUUGGCAGCAUCUGGCUUCACUCUCAGCCAAAGACUAGCCAUUCAUAAAUCUGGCUUGAAAAAAAGUGUUUCUUUUCAAGCCAGUUUUAUGAAUGCUUAGUCACUGAUUGGCUGAGAGCAUCAGCUGACUGCUCUCAGCCAAUCAGUGGCGUCCCUGUCUGCUAGCACUCAGCGCUUCCUUAACCAGGACAUUUAGAAGCCGGAUGCUGCCUGGGGGACCCGAGAAUCGGCGUUGGAGGCUCACUUUGGGGUGAAACUGUAUGAGAAUGGUUUACUUCCUUAAGGUAAGAGAGUGCUCGGGGGCCUCCUGGCACCAUAACAACUUCAUCUAGUUGAAGUUGUUAUGGUGCCUAAACAGUCUUUUUAAAGGUUUAUAAUAAUUUGCCAAUCCUCAGCAAUUCCUGACUCAUUUAAUAUGUGGUGAUUAGAAAUACUCUUUGAGGAUAAAUUACUUAUCCCAUAAUCCUCAGCUGGACCAUUGGUUAUAAUAUAAAAUCAAUCCCAAUAGUCAAGAAUGAAACAUUCUUGGACCAUCUCAUACUGAUGUAAGCAGGACCUGUCUGCAGCUGUAAGCAUAUCCACUAAGUAGUUCACAGAUAGAUAUUUUAAAAGACUAGUAACUAUAUUAUUAUUAUUAGUUUUUUUUUGCCCAUCUUUUAAUGCAUCUUCUAUAUAAUGCAUUAAAAAAUGGUCAAAGUUUACCCAGAAUAACUAUUACUCUACCAGCCAAGAUUUCUAGAAAUAAGGGCUGUGGACUUGUAUUGUGAUGUAUCCCUAUAUCAGUCACUAGUUUGCAUUUUUAUCUUGUAUUUCUCCUGCAAUAAGCAAAAUUUCAAUAUUUGAAUUCUGAGUCGAUUUAUUGUUUCCACAUUGCUCUUAUAUAUUAUUUAGAAUUUUGAAAUGUUUUGAGUAAUAUUUUUAGUAGACUCCUAAUUGAUUGGAAUUAUUUUGUGCCAACACUUAUUGAUUAAAAAUACCAUCAUGCAUUUAUUGCAGAAGAUAAAAAUAUAUAUUUUUUGGGAAAGUCACGAGAUAAAACAAGAGAUCCAGAGAUUCUCUUCACAAUUUUAUUGGGAUUUUGGUAAUACAUGAAUUACAAUAUGGGAGACACACAUUUUUCAAGAAAAGUGUACUUUGACAUUGGCACUCUAGAUGUUGUAGUGGACUGCAUCUCCCCUGAUGCUUUGCCAUCAUUAUGGCUGUACGAGGAUUAUGGGAGAUGUAGUCCACCACAUCUGGAGUGCUGAAGGUUGCCUAACCCUGCACUAUGUUAAGCAUAGUGUGUAAUAUCUAAGCUUGUAAGAAACUGAUCUAUAUUCAUAUCUGCAUCUGUAACCAAUUAUUGUCUUUGCAGAAAGAAGCCAAAAAAGAAAAGGCAGUGGUUGACAGAGUUUUCUUUGCACGGAUUGGGCGGAUAUUGAGAAUAUUAGUUCCAAAAACUAUCUCAAAGGAGGUGAGGGUUCAAACAUGCUGCUUUCUUUUAUGUGACAUCUGCCUUUAUUGGGGUUAUUACCAUUCCUGACAAUGGUGACUAUCCAACGUUUGUAGUUGAUGUUUCUGAAUUAGCCGGCUGGUCUUCAUCAAAAGCAAGUCCGAUAUUUUGAUUUUAAUGCUUGGUUUGGUUUCCCAUUUCAGAGUGGAUACCUGCUACUUAUAGCUGUCAUGCUGAUUGCACGUACAUACUGUGAUGUUUGGAUGAUUCAGAAUGGCACUUUUAUUGAAAGGUAAUGCUAAAUAUUCUCCUUGAAUGUAUUUAUAGUUUAGAGACCAGUCACUUUUUUAUUUCUAUUUCGACCUAUAGCUUUUUUCCUCCUCCUUCCAUGAUUAAUAAUAUAACUAAUAUAUUGCUGCAUUCUUUUUCGGUGCUUCAGCAUAUUUGUCAAAACCUAAAAUGUUCUGCUAAAUCUGUAAGUGAGGUAGGGAUCGGCCGAUUAUCGGUCUGGCCGAUAUAAGCUGAUAUUCUGUAUUUUCAGCAAUAUCGGUAUCUGCCAAUAAAGAUACCGAUAUUGCCAAUAAUGCAGACCAGGACUACCAUCAGUGUCCUAGGGGGCCCGCGGCGGUCCUGGGGGCCCAGCACACUCUUACUUACCUUCCCUUCAGGUCCCCUGUCUAAAUCUCGCGAAUCCCGCGGCCAUCAGAGCAUUGCCAUUGGUUACCAUGGCAAAGCUCCGCGUGACACACACCUGAGAGUUAGGCAGGGGAGCUUCUGGGAAGGUAAGUAAGAGUGUGCUGGGCCCCCUCUGCACAUUCCAUGCCACCGGACCACCAAAGAAUGCCAUAUCCCCCCUCUCUGGCCAGGUAAGAAGCAGGGAGGGGGCACUAAAACACAAUUUAAAAAAAAUAAAGUUACAAAAAUAAAAAUGUGCCCCCUCUCCCCCCCCCCCAUUUUACACACUUAACAUACCUACACAAACACUCACUGCACACACUCUGCAUUCAUUAUAUACACAAACUACACAAACACUUACUCUGCAUCCAUUAUAUACACACACACUACACAAACACUGCAUUCAGUAUACACACACUCUGCAUUCAUUAUAUGCACACUACACAAACACACUCUGCAUUCAUUAUAUGCACACUACACAAACACACUCUGCAUUCAUUAUAUGCACACUACACACACACUCUGCAUUCAUUAUAUGCACACUACACACACACUCUGCAUUCAUUAUAUGCACACUACACAAACACACUCUGCAUUCAUUAUAUGCACACUACACAAACACACUCUGCAUUCAUUAUAUGCACACUAUACAAACACACUCUGCAUUCAUUAUAUGCACACUAUACAAACACACUCUGCAUUCAUUAUAUGCACACUACACAAACACACUCUGCAUUCAUUAUAUGCACACUACACAAACACACUCUGCAUUCAUUAUACGCACACUGCAUUCACUAUAUACACACUACACAGACUCUCAAACUCUGCAUUCACUAUACACACACUACACAAGCACACUGCAUUCACUAUACACACACUACACAAACACACACUCUGCAUUCAAUAUAUACACACUGCAUUCACUAAUCAAAUACUCUCACUACACACACACAUAUUUUUGAAAACAUGUAUAUUUUGUGCAUUUACCUUUAAAAAAAAUAAAAAAUAAUAAUUAUUUUUUUGCAAAUAAUAAACAUGUUCAGUUAACAGUAGAUUUGUGUAGAAAGAGUAAAUUUUUUAAAAAAUGGUAAAUGUACAGAAUAUCGAUAUCGGUAAGCUAUCAGCCUGAAAGUUCAGAUUAUAGGUAUCGGCUCUAAAAAAAUCUAUAUUGGUAGAUCCCUAGAGAUCACUACCAGCAAGAAAAUUAUGAAAAGUUUGUGUCAACUUGAAGAACUUUGUUUUAGCAUUAGUUAGAUUUAAAGAAAACAUCCAUACAGUUAUAGAUGGCUGCUCAGACACGGGAUAAAUAAUACCAUAUGUAAUACAGAGAAGUGCCAGUUUACAUCAGGUUUGGGAUCUUUUAAUUAAUGUAUCACUAUUAUUAAAACGCCAUAACCACUAGAGCAAACUUUGCUUCCCCAGCCCAUUCUUUCUUUAGCCACAAUGAUAAUGUGGAUACUAUGCCUUUUCAUUAUCAAGUGCUCUUUUUUUAUUAUUAUUAGUUUUUAUAUAGCGCCAGUUUAUUCUGCAGUACUUUACAUUAAAAGGGGGAUUUAACAAAUGAGACGAUAAAAUGUUACAGGAACAAUAGAUGAUGACCCUACUCAAACAAGCUUGCGUCCAAUAAGGACUGCAAAGCUUUGCAUUUAAUAAUGCGAUAGCAUAAUUUUCACAUUAUUUAUGUAGCUGAAGAAAGGGGCUGGCAACGGGAAUGGAGACGAGCACUUGCUAUUGACAAUCCGUUUUACAACAUAUGAUAAAACAAUUAGGGAAGUCAACCACCACUACUGGUCUAAAAAUUAGGGUGUUCACCCAGACACUUGUAGCACUAUAACGAGCUGUUAUAGUGCUUGUAGUAUCAUUUUUAUAUAUGGCAAGAAAUGUUUAAAUAUGUGUCAAACACAGUUCCUCCAUAAAAAGAAAAUGUAUUAUUUACAUUGGCAUCCCCCAUUGGCAUCAUUGGCAUUUGUUUAAGUAAACUCCACUUUAAUAAAUUUUUUUCCUCCUUUAACCUUAUAUUAAAGGACCACUAUAGGCACCCAGACCACUUCAACUCAAUGAAGUGGUCUGGGUGCCAGGUCCCUCUAGUUUUAACCCUGCAACUGAAAACAUAGCAGUUUCAGUGAAACUGCUAUGUUUCACUGAGGGUUAAUCCAGCCUCUAGUGGCUGUCUCACUGACAGCUGCAAGAGGCGCUUCCGCGAUUCUCACUGUGGACGCUGGACGUCCAUAGGAAAGCAUUGAGUAAUGCUUUCCUAUGGGCGGUUAGAAUGCGCGCGCGGCUCUUGCAGCGCAUGUGCAUUCGGAUAUGAUGUCGGCAGGGGGAGGAGAGUUCCCCAGCGCCGAGGGAGCCCGACGCUGGAGAAAGGGAAGUGGCUGAAGAGGUUUUAAUCCCUUCAGCCCACUGGGAGGAGGGCCAUGAGGGUGGGGGGGGGACCUAAUGACCGUAUAGUGCCAGGAAAACGAGUUUGUUUUUCUGGCACUACAGCGGUACUUUAACAAAAACAUUUCGUUUAACAUUUCGUUUGAAUUUCUGAACAGUAAAUAUUGAAAAUGUCUCUAUAUUCUGUGGGGAGUGAUUUACAUACAGCGUAUUUUGUUUCCUUUUUAUUCAAUGAAAAUGGCUACAUUUUCUUUCCUUUUGCUUCUCAUUUCAGUGGAAUCAUAAGCAGGAAUAAAUCGGAAUUUAAGAAAUAUUUUUUCAAGUAUAUAGCAGCUAUUCCCUUGGUAAAGCAAAAAUCAUAGAAUUUUGGACACAUAAAAGCAUGUGAUUCUCUGUGUGCACGUUUAAUGUAUUGGUAAAGUUUACUUUUAGGAACCUGACAGUGGCAUGUACAAAGCGGAUACCAUUCUUUCUAUACACUUGGCUUAAAGGAAAAUUGUAUCACUAAUUGUUAACAUAAACUAAUGAAAGAUUCCUCGUAAAUUCUUGGGCUAUAAAGCAAUACCUGAGUCUAAGUACACAAACUUAAAUCAAUCUGCAUUAAACGUGAUCCAUUCAUCACGAGACAAUGUCGGCGUUUUAGACAUCUAUAAGGUCUAAUAUUCAUAUUAUGAAAGCGUAUCAGAAUUGUAAUUUUGGUGCUCCUGCACUGACAGCAAGUUAUUGAACUGGCUAAAACUAUUUAUCCAACUACAUGGUGCUACAGCACUCCUCUCAAUUGCAACAUCAAGCAAAUUAAUCAAUGGAUCAUGGGAUUGUUACAAAUGUGAUUACAAGCUUCUUCUCUCAUCUCCACAAUGCUAGCCAAAGAGGUUGAUAAAAAUGAACUCCUGAGGAACAGAACAGGAUUAUGUUGAUGUAUAUGUAGACAAGCUGAGCAGUUUGUUUAGAUUGUUUUAUGGUAGCUAAUUUCUGUCACUUUUUUCUCUUUAAGUCCUAACCACGUAACACCUAUGUCUUUUUGUCAUGUCAUAUGGGUUUCCUACAUUGCUUUUUAGCAGAGUUUCUAAUAGAGCUUUUUCAAUGAAUAUCUGAAAAAGAAAUGCUAUUAAAAUUAAUGCAUGUGAUGGUUUGCAGUGCAAUCAUUGGCCGAAGCAGAAAAGAUUUUAAGAAAUACCUUUUCAACUUUAUCGCUGCCAUGCCCGCCGUAAGUGUUAAUUGUUUUGUCUGUGUUUUUACAGUGAGUUAAGACAAAAUGCACAACUUUUAUUUCUUUAGUUAUUGAAUAAACCGCAUGCAGUAUUAGAGGAUUAGUCUUUUGGUGUUAUGCUUUUAGUACUCAGCAUCAUUAAGUCAUGUAAUUUUCUCUGAUCAGCUGGUAAAAUUUAUGUACAUAUCAAGCUCGCAAACAUGCUAAUUUUAAUUUUCUACAAUCGAAAGUCACUAGUUAAAUUUUCUAAAUUCACUUGUCUAGUUACCGGAGAACUAUGUUAUCUGUGAAUUAAAGUAAUACUAUAGGGUCAGGAACAUAAACCUGUAUUCCUGACCCUAUAGUGUUUAACCCACCAUUUAGGUGGCUUGCCCCCCUAUAAAUGUUUAAAACUCAACUUAUUUCCAGCGCCGCGUGGGUCUGCCGGCGUUGGCCCCGCCCCCUUUGUGACAUUAUCAAAGUGGCUGGCUUUUAGCCAAUCCAAAGCUUUCCCAUAGGGAAAAUCUGCAAGGGGGCAGGACAAAUACUGUUAUGGCCAAUCAGGAACUCCUCAUAGAGAUGCAUUGAAUCAAAGCAUCUCUGAGGAAAAUCCAGAGUCUCCAUGAUGCUGAACGUCAGUGCUGCUUUUUCAGCAGCACUGACGCAGGAAGCUCCUCCAGUGACCAUCUAAGGAGUGGCCACUUGGAGGUGUCCCUAGAGGCAAUGUAAACACUGCCUUUUCUCUGAAAAGGCAGUGUUUACAUGAAAAUGCCUGAAGGGAACUAUUAUACUCACCAGAAUAACUACAUUAAACUGUAGUUGUUCUGGUGACUAUAGUGUCCCUUUAAUACAAAACCAGAAAGUACUGGCAUCUCACACUAAACUUUGUCCCAUAAUAAAAAAUAAAAAACUAUUAGAGGUACCAUGCUACCUGAUUGGGUACAUAUUUACAAGCUGGUUAAAUGAGCUAGAUAUGAAAAUAACAUUCUUAUUACUUAGUCCAGUUCUUUAUUGAAAUUGCUGCUGAUACUUGGAUAACAAGCGUUUUAAGAAUAAUUCUGAAGCAAAGAUCUAAAAGUGGAGCAUCGCCUUGAACAUGCCAUAAUAAAUACACCACUUUUAGAACUUUAAAAGGGCACCAGAGCUGCUUUUAUAUAUAUAUAAAAAAAAAUAGCCUCAAUUGUGUGUCUUUUUACGGUCCUCUGUCUCCAGCGGACAUAGAGACUUAACCUCACACAGUGCCAGUCAAAGCAUGAUCUUGCUAAAUUAAAUAUGAUAUGAUAACGUAUAAUGUGUCCUGAUCAGUGUAGCUGGUAACCAUUUACCACUUGCUGUUUUUAAAGUGAAAUAUUCAUCUUACAGAAAGGGACAAUCUAAGCAUCAUAAUCACUACAGCUAUUUAUAGUACAAGAAGGCAAUAGGUGCAAACGUCUGCUUUACAUAAACCUUCUGAGACCCAGAGCCUGACCCCCACCCAAGAGCAUCACUUCCUCAUUAACACCACAAGUCGGCCACGUUUGAAUGGCAGUGAUAGGCUUAGAAACUUUCAUCACUCACAUACUAUUAUGGCCAUCCAGGUGUGGGGGGACCGUGACUUAGGUGCUGGCAAAGCACAUUUGUUUUUCGUCAGACAACUCAUAGUUUGACAAUUACAAGAUAGUCUUCCCCCACUGACUUCUUGUACCGUAGCCACUACAAUAAACAAUAAUGGGCAUGCUGUUUAGUGUCCCUUUUAAGCAAUGACAUCCAUAUAUCAUGUAUUUUGAUACAUUUGUACACACAAUCCAACUCCACAGCUGGCAGGUACCUUGCAAUACGCAUGUCUAUUUAUGUUGUUAUAACUGUGUGUGUGUGUAUUAAAAUGGUCUUAGACACAAUGCUUUGUAAGCAUAAAACAUCCACUUAGUGCGAACAAAACAUUGUGCACCAUGUCUCCACUUGUUUAAUGUAGUUUUUUUUUUUUUUUUCAAUCUAUUUUUCUUUUUGCAGAUCUCAUUAGUCAACAAUUUCUUGAAGUUUGGUCUCAAUGAACUUAAAUUAUGUUUCCGGGAAAGGUUAACAAAGUACUUAUAUGAUGAAUACUUAAAGUAAGUCCAUCUAAUUGAUUUUCUUUUUUUAUUUAUAUGUGAGCUUUCCUUAAUUGGAUACACAUCUUAAUGUGAUGGUUUUGGUGCAGAGAUGCCACUUCCCUUUUAGUCAAUGUAAAACAUUUCUGAUUUUGAGAAAUAGCAAUGUUUACAUUGCUUUCAGUCUGGCUAGAUAUGGCCAGACUGACAGUAUCCUACCUAGUGUGAAGGGAUGGUGUUCACCGGUGGUGGUGGUCCAAGGCACAUAUGCCAGGGCUGAUUUUCCAUUCACCAGUGGCUAGUGAAAAUUGUGAGCUUUGGUAUAUUCAACAAUAAAUGGUUUACUUAAUUUUGACUGUCAUUUGUAGUGCAGUUAUUGGAGUGGAGUUUUUUUCUACAGUGGGGAGAUGUUUGUUUGUUUGUUUUGUAUGUGGUGUGUUGUAAUGAAUUUUACUAUUAUUUUAUAACAGUAGAAUUGGUUAUUAGGCUUAUGCCUUCCACGUAAUCUGUGUCUCUGUAAAAAUAAUGGUGGUCAAGUUACAUUUUUUUUUUUUGCAUAACCUUUUAUUGAAACUGGCACAGGUAAGAUAUAUAUGUGUGUUUUUGGGGCAAAGGGCUGGCAUUUACCAGCUUAUAUGAAAAUGGUUCUGUAGCUGAACAUAACCCAUUAUAGAUUUUAGUUCAGUGAUUACCCUUUAUUUAUCGUUCAUUUCCUGAGUGUAAUACGAUUGUGUUCCUGUCUCCCAACUAUAGAUCUUUCACCUAUUAUAAAAUGGGAAAUUUGGACAACAGGAUAGCAAACGCAGAUCAACUUCUUACACAAGAUGUUGAGAGGUUUUGCAACAGUGUGGUGGACUUGUACUCAAACCUCAGCAAGGUAGGUUUCUGUAAGUUGCUUGAAUCCAUCAAUGUGUGUGUGGUGUUUCCUGAGAUCAAGUAUGUAAUCUUGCAGUGUGCAGUUAUUCUUUAUGCUUUUAUUUUUUGACACUUGAUUGUGACUGGUCUACCUGCUGAAGAUUAGUACUUAAUUUUCCCCUCGUAGCAUCCUUGUUUUCUGUAAUAAUAGUAUAGGUUAGUUGUCUAGAUUAAAACAUUUAAUAGUUUAAAAUUCCAUUGAUUUUCAUUUAAAUAUGGUCUUCUAUAUACUUUUGUAUAUAGAAUGGAAUAAUCCACUAUAAGCAAGUUUGAGUGAUGUCCUCUUUAACUCUUGUUCUAGCGUAAGGAAUUCCCUUGGUAUCUUUAAUGUAUUCAUCUUACAGAAAAGGACAAUCUAAGCAUCAUAACCACUACAACCAAUUAGUGAUACAAUUUUCCUUCAAGCCAAGUGACUUUAAGGUUUACCUUAAAGUGACACUAUAGUCACCAGAACCACUACAGCUUCAUAUACGGGUUCUGGGGCGUAUAGCCUGCCACUGCAGGGUCAGCAGUGUGAUUGCUGCCUUUUCUGAGAAAAUGCAGUGUUUAGACUACUUCUAAUGGCCAUCACUCUAACAGCUACUCGAGGGACUUCCUUGGUUUGAUCCUGCAUAGAUUGCAAGACCAACUUUCAGCAUCUCCAACCUCUGCAUGGAGAUGCUGAACACUUCCCAUAUAGAUUCAAUGCAUCUCUAUGAGGAGAUGCUGGUUGGCACAGUGGGGUGAUUUGCAUAUGCACUUGCAUCCCAUUGCUUCCCUAUGGAUUGGCUGAGAUCAAGAUUUAUGAUUUCAGCCAGGAAGCCAGGGUGCACACAGUCGGGCGCAAUGAGAACAAAAAAUGUAAGUAAAACUUCUUUUUUUUUUUUUUAUUGCACAUGAGGAGUCAUUUAAAUAAUUAGUUGAACAGUAUAGCGUAAGCAGUUCAUAUUUGUAUUCCUGACGCUGUAGUGUUCCCUUAAUUUCAGUUGCUUGUCCUUGCUGUACUUUGUCUGCCCACAGUAGAUCUGAAGAUUUUAGUUCUUGCUUGAUACAUUAAAAUAAAAAUGAACAUUUUCUUUUGGAAGUACUUUUUGCAUUGAAUGAUUUUAUGCUAUUAAUUGAUUGAGAAUAAUUAAGCCAACAGGCCCAAGCAUUUGCUGCCUUACCCAAAGCACUUCUCGCCUUUUAGCUUAGGCUUCUCUUUUAUGAUACAAGAAAUCUGAAUGCACUACUUACCACAGUAAGCUGUUCAAUGGUGGGAGGAAAUAAGAAAGUGUCACGUGAAGAACAGUGGCAGUUACCCUUUUAACUUUGUGUAUUUUUUAUUUUUUUUAAAUACACUUUUUUUCCUCUUAUUUCUAUAAAUAAGGCUCUACUGGGCAUUUUUGGCUAGUGUUAGGUGGUAGAAAAAAAUCUCCAUUUCAGCUGUUUUCCACAGGUAAAAAAGGCUGUGCUAUACUUCAUCUUAGCUGAUUGUCAGGACCAUUUUAGACAUAUAAAUAAUCAUAUAUCAUGUAAUAUUAUUUAUGGCAGUAUUACACCUGGGUCCUGGGUUCCUCAUUGCCUGUGUGUUUACUUCAAUUGACAGACGUUUUGAACGUGUUAAAUAUUGUCUUCUGUGUGUACCUCUGUGUAUAAUAAAGACCAGUAGAGGCUGCUUCUGUACUCCGACCGAGUACCUCCGCCCAGUCCACGUCCUAGCCGUUUGCAGGAACACUUCAGUCCCAGUCGUUGAUGCUUGACUGGGGUCUUUCUGGAGCUUUUCUACCCGACCAGGCUGCAGCUCUCCUUCCAGGCAGGUAUCGUCCCCUCUGCCUCAUACACUGCAACCUCGCUUCCAGGCAGGUAUAGUCCUCUCUGCCUCUUCCGCUGCUGCUUUUCUUCCAGGGAGGUAUUCACAUCCGCCUGCAAUGUUAUAGCUCUUGUCUUUAAAAAGACAAUUGUGGCUCUCAGGCCUAGCUCUCUUGCUUUAUCCCAGGGCUACAGGUAUUCUUCUCAAAGUCUGUGGGCAACUCUGCUCUUGGAUUGCCUCCGAAGAAAGCCAAUCCCUCCGACACUCUCCUCUGGAAUUCCUUUCCCGACAAGGAUGCAGCACGAGUGCUAUCGCUAUCCCUCUCCAGAAAAUGCGCAGGUAUCCCAGGGACAUUUCCCAAGUCGCUAGGAAGCUGCUGCCACCUUCUGCUCACCUGUCCCUGGUGACACAAUCUUCAUUGCUCCCACUUUACUUCACUCCCCUCUCUAUUCAUCCCAUGCACUCUAUGUAUACCUUUCCAGCUUAUCUCCACCAACUCCUUCCAAAUCCUCUAUAUACAUACCCUCUCACAAAGCUUUCAAAUCUUACUCCCACCUUCUCUUCCUUUCUAUCCUUCUGCUCCAAGCAGCUGGAUGAUGUCUCUCCAAAUCCCAGUCCCACCUCGGCAAAUCCACCACGUACUAACUCAAGGAAACCACACCAAUCUCAUACCCAUUUCAUGUUACUCUUCACCCAAAUCCUUCUUUAAUACUGCCCUCUGGAAUGCACGCUCUGUGUGCAAUAAUACAAAAUCCACUGCUGUCCACGACCUCCAUCUCUCGUUCUCUAGAUUUACUAGCCUUAACAAAAGCAUGGCUCUUCCCCUCUGACACUGCUACCCCUGCAUCUUUAUCUUUUGGUGGUCUUCAACUUACCCACAACCCAAGACACUCUGAAUGUAAAGGUGGUGGUGUAGAGUUUCUACUCUCACCUCACUACUCCUUCAAACCUCUACCCACCUUCCCUUCUCUCUUUUUCUCAUCAUUUGAAAUCCAUUAGAUUCGCCUUUUCAACCCCAUCUCUGCUAACAUUGCUGUUAUUUAUCGCCUCCUUGGUUCCUCUCUCCUCUUGACCACUUUGCUGCCUGUCUACGUCCUCUCCUCUAAUAUUCCAUCACUAAUUCUCUGGGACUUCAACCUCAGCAGCCUCUAAACUACUUUCAAUUACUUCCUCCCUUGGGCUAUCGCAGUGGGCUAAUUCUCCCACCCAUGUAGCUGGCAAUACUCUCUACCUCAUUUUCUCUUAUGCAUGUACAGUAUGUAAUAUCUGCAACACUCAAUUUCCUCUCUCGGAUCACCACCAUAAUUUGCUCUCGAGUACCCCUUCACCCAACAACUUCAGCCUAACUCCCCUCAAUUCAGGAGGAACCUUAAUUCUAUUGACCUCCAGCAGCUGUCAGCUGAUAUUAAUUCACAACUCCUAUCCAUCCUUUCUCUCUCCUGUUCCUCACUGGCCAUCUCCACAUAUAACACUACCCUCACCUCUGCCGUGAACACUGCUGCCACGCUCCAAACAUGCACCUUGAGGAGGACACGCCUCCAACUGUGGCAUACUAAAUUAACACGCUACCUGCAAAGAUGCUCACGUUGUGCUGAACGCUCCUGGAGGAAGUCUCACACCCAGUCAGACUUUCUCCAUUAUAGAUUCAUAUUGUGUUUAUACAGCGCAUCCUUUGCCCUUACCAAACAGUCAUACUUUUCCUCUCUUAUUAGUUCAUGCUCCUGCAAUCCCAGGCGCCUUUUUGACACAUUUAACUCUCUUCUUUGACCUGCUGUGGCCACCCCCAAGACUAACCUUACAGCGAUAGCUUUGCAUGCUACUUUACCGACAAGAUUAAACAGCUAAGGAAAGCAUUCUCCCCACCCUGUCUUUCUCUUUCUCAACCACACGCAGAUCUUUCCUGUCCCCGGCUACUGAACAAGAGGUGGCUGCGCUUUUCCUUUCCUGUCGCCCCACCACUUGCCCGCUUGAUCCUGUCCCAUCUCACCUUAUCAGAUCUCUCUCCCCUUGUCUUUUUUCUUCCUUAACACACAUUUUCAACUGCUUUCUCUCUUCUGGCAUUGUCCCUGCUGACCUUAAACAUGCAACUGUAGUACCUAUCCUGAAAAAAAAUCUCUCGACCCAUCUUCAUCUCUAACUAUUUUCCCAUAUCCGUGCUCCCUUUUUCCUCAAAGCUUCUGUAAAGACUUGUCUUUACCCGUAUGUCUGACUUCCUCAAUUCCAACUUUCUCCUUGACCCUCUUUGAUCUGGCUUCCGCCCCCUCUACUCUACUGAGACUGCUUUUAUCAAAGUUACUAACCACCGAAUUGCAGCUAAAUCCAAAGGCCACUACUCCAUACUAAUUCUUCUUGACCUCUCUGCUGCCUUUGACAUUGUUGAUCAUGCUCUUCUUCAAAUUCUUCAAUCACUCUGUCUCUGUGACUCUAUCCUCUCAUGGUUUUCCUGUUAUCUCUUCCAACGCUCAUUCAGUGUCUCCUUUUCUAAUGAUCCCUCCUCCCUUCAUCCUGUCUCGGUUGGAGUCCCCCAAGGCUCUGUCCUUGGUCCCCUUAUAUUUCCUCUUUAUUUUGCCUCUCUUGGCAAACUUAUUACCUCAUUUGGAUUGCACUACCACCCGUACACUGAUGACACCAAGAUAAAUCUCUUCUUCCCGGACCUCUCGCCUGCCGUCCUGCAACGUGUCACUGCUUGCCUUUCUUCCAUCUCUGACUGGAUGUCCUCUCGCUUUCUGAAACUCAAUCUCUCUAAAACUGAGCUCCUUGUCUUUCCUCCUCCUAAUACUGAUCCUUCGCACUCCCUUCAAGUUAGUGGUAUCCACAUCAGCCCAUCCUUGCAAGCACGCUGUCUUGGCGUAAUACUUGACUCGGGCCUCACCUUUGAGCCUCACAUCCUGUAUGUUACCAAAUCCUCUAGAUUCCUUAAAAAUCUGAAAAACAUAGCCCGCAUCCACCCCUUUCUUACGCAGGAGGCUACUAAGGAGCUUGUCCAUGCUCUAGUAAUUUCUCUAAUGGAUUAUUGUAGCAAGCUCCUAAUUGGUCUUCCCAAAAACCGGAUUGUCCUACUACAGUCUGUAAUGAUUGCUGCCGCCAGACUGACUUUCCUCUCUAGUUGGUCCUCUCACACCUCACCCCUGUGUCAGCCCUUACAUUGGCUUCCUGUAUCCUAUAGGAGUCAGUUCAAAGUACUCACCCAUACCUAUAAAGCAUUGAACAAUGCUAGCCCAUCUUAUAUCUCUUCACAGAUCCCCUGCUCUGUCUCACUGCUCUGCCCAUGACCUUCUCCUGUCCUCUGCUCGCACCUGUACGGCCAACUUGCGCUUGCAGGCGGCUCCCUUGCUAUGGAAUAGCCUGCCUACCGCCAUUAGACCCUCCCUAGUCUUUAAACGUUUAAAAAGUGCCUUAAAACCCAUCUCUUUAGGAAAGCUAAUGGCCUCUCAGAGUAACCUCUACCUUACACACCUGUCUCUUGCUCUCUCCUAAAGGGCAGCACUCUUCUCUCACUUCCAGCUCUGCUUCACUCCCACUUUUUUUGAUUGCUAUUUCCUGUCCUAUUGUGUUUUACCCCCCACCUCCUAUAGACUGUAAGGUCCACUUCAACCUAUCGUUCCUGUAAGUUUUCUUGUAAUUGUCCUAUUUAUAAUUAAAUCCCCCCUCUUAUAAUAUUGUAAAGCACUACAGAAUCUGUUGGCGCUAUAUAAAUGGCGAUAAUAAUUAGGACAUGGUACAAAAACCGAUAAGCCUCUGGUAUAGUCACUGAUAAAGAAACAUAAGAGGACAUGUAACGAUCUCUCAGGCUUUGAUUAGCUGUGUCAUACUGACUAAAAGGUAGCCAUAUACCAAGGACAUUUGGUGCUUGAACCUGUGUGUGCAAAUACCAAAAGCAAUCAUAUGAAAGAGACCUCUGCUGGUCAGUUUUGAUACAUACAUCCUGAUCUUAACUUGCUGAGAGUAACCUGAUUUACAUAAAACCUUAAUAAAUCUAUUUAGUUUACUCACAGUACACACCAAAUACACAGCCACACUAGUUUUAAUUUAUUUAAUAAAUCGAUUAACUCUCAGAUUAAUAUAACUUGGAGGCUGACUUUUAUUCUUAUUUUGUGUUUUGUGAUUUAAAAUAGGCUACAUUUGCUUGGAAUCCUCAGCGAAUGCUUUUGUUUUAUGAAUUAAAUAACAUUAAUAGAUUUUAUGAAUUUAAUUUUAUUACAUAUAUAUUAUUUGAACUUUUUUUAAAUUUUUUUUUUUUUUUUUUACAGUGUUUAAAUUGUUACACAUCCGUAAAGUCAAAUGAUAAGUGGUCUUCUGGUUUACAUACCUCUAUAUAUGCAAUGCUUUGUGAAAAAAUGCAUCCCAAGAUUAGCAGCCAAUAAAAAUAACUUAUCUGACAGUCCCAGAUCUGUAUAUUAUUUUAAAUGCAUUAAUAUCUUCAGUUUUGGUUACAACACGUACACAAAUUUAAAGGAUGGCAUAAACUUCAACUCUUUUUUCUUUUUUAUUUUGCAGCCAUUUUUGGACAUUGUUUUGUAUAUCUUCAAGCUGACAAGUGCUAUUGGAGCUCAGGUAUUGUAUACUUUUUCUGCCUGUGUUUGUGUGUGUGUUCCUUUUUUUUAUUUUUAUUUUUUUAUUUCAUUUUUAUUUAGAAGUUGAAAGCAUCAUUUUACAAUUGUCUGAUCUUGGCUCUUAUGCUGCAUUCUAGGGACCAGCAAGCAUGAUGGCUUACCUGCUUGUUUCUGGACUUUUCUUGACUCGUCUCAGGAGGCCUAUUGGUAAAAUGACCAUUGCAGAGCAAAGAUAUGAAGGAGAAUACAGAUAUGUCAACUCGCGGCUCAUUACCAAUAGGUUAGUCAAGCAAUUACAAAAGCUACCUAUUUAGGAGGCCUGAAAGAACUACAAGUGGACACAAUCUUGUUGUAUAAAUUGAUUGGAUUUACUGCUGCAUGUCAGAGAAUAUUGGUGUAACGUGAACACCAUGGUAUUUUUUUUUAUUUUUUUUUCUUCUGCCCAUAUUGUGCACCUCUUGUAUAUUCACAAGAAGUGCUCCCUUUUGCAGUCCAGCAGUCUUUGCAGGACCUAGCACCUUUGUGCUUCACAUUGGGAUAAUGCAGCUCUAGGAGGAGAUGCUGACUUGUGCGGUGAUUGCUUCACAUUCACCGUAGACCACCAGUGAUUCUCUGUGUAGAAACAUUAGAAUGACUGAGAUCAUAAUCACUGAUCAAAAGCGCAUUAAUAAUUGUAUGUUUUCUAGCUUGCCUCUCUUUCUCUUUGAAGAAUCCAAGAUGGUGCUUUUUAGAAUUACUAAGUUAUAAAACUUCACAAAUGUUAAUAAUGUAUUUUGUUUUUAGUGAAGAAAUUGCAUUUUACAAUGGAAACGAAAGGGAAAAGCAGACUAUUCACACAGCUUUCAACAAAUUGGUAAGUGGAUUGCUGCAUUCAGAAAUACUUAACAUCCUCAUUUUCCAAACUACUUUCAAAAGCCAUUUACAGCCCAGGUUUUUCUGCACUGUUUGGAGUAAUGCAGUGUUAAUUGGAAUAUCAAGAGAGAGCUCUUCCAUGUGUCAAAUAGAUUGACAUAAUAUGUUCUCCUAUUUAAAAAUCACCUAACUUUUCAUAUGGUAAAUUGUGUUAGGGUGAUGAAUUAUUUUUUUAGAAUAGUGGCAAAUCUAUUAAUUAUAAAGUUAUAGCUUGUUAUACUACCACCUCUUAAUGUUGCAUCCCAAUUGUCCUAGCAUGGUUUUUGUUUUUUUAUAUUUUUUAUUAAUACUAAUGUCAGUCACCAAGUGAACAUUGCUUUUUAUGGGCUGGGAUCAGAUAUAUAUAUUUAUUUGCAUCACAUGUUGAGGUAUUCAAGCACCCAAUAUGAGAUAUAGGACUAGCCAAAGCAACAUUUUAUUCUUUGAAGCAAUUUUUUUUUGAAAAAAUAUGUAACUCUUGUAUUCUUUCCUCGCCAGGUGGAGCACUUGCAUAACUUCAUUUUGUUUCGUUUCUCUAUGGGCUUUGUCGACAGCAUUAUUGCCAAAUGUAAGUUAUAGUUCCAUCAGGGAGAGUUUUAAGUGUAGCCGUAAGUUGCAUUAUGCGGAAAAAUAUUUUUUAUUGUAUAUAUGUAUAAUUGUGUUCAAAUAAGAGGUAGUAAUUGUGGAAGAGUAUGGAAUGCAACCUAAAGUUCAGUGGUUUUACAUUAUUCUCAUACUUGUUAAAGUAUUUAUAAAAUUGCAUAUAUUACCAUGCUUUUAAUGCUGUUGACCUAUUGCAAUACUGCAGAUCUUGCAACUGUGGUGGGUUACCUGGUUGUCAGCCGUCCUUUCCUCACACCAAAUCACCCGCGGCAUUUGAAGAGCACACAUGCUGAGCUGCUCGAGGUGAGUGCGGGAAUUGGGUAAUGUCGUACAGCUCUGUGCUUGCAAGGCAGCAUAUUCUUAUGUUUAUUGCUUCUUUGUUUUCAAAGGAUUACUACCAGAGUGGAAGAAUGUUGCUGAGGAUGUCCCAGGCACUGGGCAGAAUUGUGCUUGCAGGUCGGGAAAUGACAAGAUUAGCAGGGUGAGAGUGUGGGGUUUAGGGACGUGCAAUGUUUUAUCUACCUUUAUUUUUUACAGAAAUGGUUAUUUUGGGCAGCUUUGCAAUUUAUUUUUUACACCUUGUUUUUAAAAGAGUUAAACUGUGUGUGUAUGUGGGUUCGUUGUCCCUUCCAUCUCUGUCUUCCACCCAUUCCCCCCUUUUUUUAUAUAAUGCAAUCUCUAAAUGGUUUUGUCCUUUCAUCUCUCCCAUGUGUUUGUGUGGGUUUUUUUUGACAGGUAUGUUUCUUUAACUUAAGCUCCCUUGCCUGUCUGAGUUUUUACUUCCAUCUGUUUUAAUGCAGUAUACAGUUUAAACAGCAAGUUGUUGUGAAUUGAAAACUGAAAUACAAAAUUUAGGCAACAGUAGCUUAAUUUAUAAAAUUAAGUAAUCAAUUUGUAUUCAAAUUAUGCCAUAGUCACAGUUUGCCUAUAUUUGCUUAAAUGAUGCAGUUUGGGAAAUGCUGCAGUUUUGUGUUUAUGACCUAUGAUUUAUGUCCUCUCUGUUUGUUCUUCUUAUUAAUUAUUCACAAGCCAUUAUGCCCUUUUCAUGUGAUUAUUAAAAAAAGAGCAAGCAAAAACCCUAAUAUUUUUACUUUCUCAGGUUUCCUGCAUUUAUGUUAUUUAGGAAGUUUUAUUUACAUUGUGUCCUGUGUAGAGGAAAUGCUUAUGCCUCUUCUUUCUGCAGCAUACACUCCGUUGAGAUUAGGUUUAGCUGAAUAACUUGGAGGUGUUGGCAAGGGUAUGAGAUGUGCAAAUGACGGCCCAUUCAAUGGCAAGGGAACAGGAUUUGAUGCUCCCUAGUUUUAAUAACAAAGCUACUUGUCAUGGGAGAUCUACAGAUUUCAACAAGUGGCUGUGUCUACCUGGAGUACUCAGACUGAAGGAUAUUUUGUUAUCUAAAAAUAGUACAUUUAGAUAUCACUCUCUUUUAAUAAAGUUUAUGGAGAUUAAAGGAACACUUACACUUACUAUACAAAUAUGCAAUUAUGCUCAUUUGCUGGCAGUUUUGCUGCUGAUUUUAUUUUUUACCUGCUUGAGUUGGGGUAUAUGGUGAUAAAUGUUUUUCUCAAACUUGUUUCUUAUUUCUAUUAACUUGCUAAAAUAAACUAGUUAUUAAACUAAUGAUAACAUUUGAAAAUUUUGUUUAAGGAUCAUUGUGUACUGUACAUUUGUUUUGUAAAGCCUCUUUCAUUAGAUUGAAUUUUGGAUAACAAUUUGUUUGAAAUGAUAGGACUUAGUGGCUUGUGAAUGGAGCCUAUAUUUAGAAAAUUACUGUUGCUUAUCUCAGUCUUUUAACACAAAUUUAAGCUCUCAUGCACAUUCCUUUGUGUAUUAAUGAUGCACUGUUUGCAAAAAUAAGUUUUAUGCGAACAAUAAAUGUGAUCUAACAAAAAUCCUUUGUUUGGCUCCUAGUUUCACAGCCAGGAUUACAGAAUUAAUGCAAGUGCUGAAAGAUUUGAACAGAGGGAAAUACGAGCGGACUAUGAUUUCUCAACAAAAUGGAGGUAACGACAUAAUCUGUUAUGUUAAGAAAGAAAUAAAAAAAAGCAUACGUUUAAACGAUUGAAUAAUAACAAGCAACCCAUUUUUCCUUGAACUUGCAGAUUUAGAAGCCAUACAGACCAUCCCGUUAAUACCUGGAAGUGGGAAAAUUAUCAAUGCUGACAAUAUAAUUAAGUAUGUUUUUUGGGGGUGGGGAAUAUAAUUUUAUAGUUUGUGCCUGAUGUAUGAGAAAUGUUUUACAUUUCCAGUGUAGAGCUGGCUGGUUUGUCAGAACAAGUAAGAAUUACCUAUUUAUAUUACGUUGUCUAUAAUCUCAGUAAUGAUUUAGGAAGAAUAAUCUGAAAUUGGAAAAGAGCCCGGUUUUGAUUCAGUACGGUUAGAGUUUAAUAAUAAAAAAACAAAAACUAAUAAUGAAGCUAAAGUUUUUAGUUCCGUCCUUUUUCUGUAGAUUGAAAAGCAGUGUCAGGGUUAUUCACUAAAGUGAGAAUUUCAAGUGAAUUCAAAGUGAAUUUUAAACUAGACUAAAAUAAUUGGAUUAGACAAAAACUCUCCAAGUCAAUUCUGUGUUCGGCUAUUUUGGCCUUACAUUUGAAAUUCACUUUGAAUUUUCACAUUUGUGAAUAAUCCUGUUUUGUGUCUUGAAUGCAUAUGCACAGAAAAACUGUAAGGUAAAGUAAAAAAAUAUUUUUAAAUGAUAAGUAAAUAGAAAGCAUUCCUUAAAAAUAACAAAAUAACUUCUUUAAGAGUUACCAUAUUUUUUCUUCCCCUAACAUCUUUUUUUUUUUUAAAAUAAUUAUUAUUAUACAUGCUUUACGUAUAGUGAAAUCAACUUGUAAUUUAAAGGAACUCUAUAGCCACUAUAACAACUUCAUCUUAUUAAACUUGUUAUAGUGCCAUAAAUGUUUCCCUCCAUGCUCCUAUCCUUCAACAUAUGAUACAGUUCAGCUGCUUGAAGACUUGAGAACAGCAUCAAGACACACCACCACACCCUCCUUGUCAGAGAGCUGGGACUGUUACUUCCUGGCUCUCAUACCAUUCAUACCAUGACAUCAUCACGCCUAGUGUGCUGAUGUAGACUAUUUAGGAUUUAUGCGUGUUAAUAAAAAGCAAAGCGUGGGCAGAAUGGACAGUCUGCUCACCUCUCACGAAUGUGCAGACCACGUGUCCCUUCACAGCUUCUCAUAGAAAAUCGUUAUGUUCAAUGAUUUUCUAUGAGAGGAUUUUCGUUGGUGGAUCAUCUCUGGAGACGUGCAUGCACCUAGGGUCCGCAAAGAUUUUAAAUGGGAACCAUUUGAUUGGACCCAUGUCUUCUGACUUCAUGAUGUCACAAGGGGUGGAGUGCCACAAGGAGGCAAUUGAUGGUGCUGGAAUAAAGAGUUGUAGAUAUUUUAUCUAAAAACUGUUUUUUAUUGGGGGAGGGGAGGGAGUUGUUGCAAAACUCUUUGAGACUAUAUUAGAGACAAAGUAUUUUUUUUUUUUUUUUUAAUACCUUUUUCAAAUCCAAUGCAGUUUUCCUUUAAUAGAGAAGCAAACAUUGAAACGCUUUUGUUACUAGUAAACAGUAAAGUAGAUGUAUAUCUUUGCAGAUACAUGCUGGAUUACUGUAACAUCCUUCUCUACCGCCUGUCUGGUCCCUAGGCUAGGUGCUACUUAGCCAAUCAGCAGUGGGUCUCAGCAAUGCAGCAGUUUGCAGGGUGAGAGUCUCUUUUUGUUUUAAUAAUAAAUCGGUUUAAGGGUCCUAGAUAGACUUCCCUCUACCAAUUCCAUAUAAAAAUGAGUCAUUUACUGUAGGUUGCAGCAAACUACCUUCGCCAACUUGGGCAGCCUUCAUUCUAUACAUUGAAGCAUGUAGGCACCAUAAACUGAAUAAAAUGCCAUGAAUCCUAGGGCUCCUACUUUUUCAUUUUUGCUGUCAUGAAAGAAGUAAAGUUAAGAAAGUUCAGAUGGCUUGAAAGAGUUAGAUUAAAUUUGUCUAAACCGUUAUUUGUGUGGCUACAGUUUGUGUGGUUGAAUCCAUUUACUCAUGUGCUCACAGAUCAUUACUUGCUCAUUCUAAAACAGAUAAUGAGGGAUGAAUUCAAGGACGAGGCUUUUUUGUUAAACCAGUGGAAAAUUGUUUAACAAAAACAUCACCUAUAGCUGCCUAGCAGUGUAACCUCUGCAUUAGUAGUUAUGGUGCUUGCAGUGACCCAAACAACUACUUGAUGAUGGUGUCAGCAAGAAGCAAUCAUAGUCCUUAUUUUCUCUAGUCCCCAUUUGGAAUGGGUUUUGGGGGAAUAGAAUGCCCUUUUUUUUUUUUUUUUUUCCUUCUUUACUUUUUUUUUUUUUUUUUGCAUCAUGGGAGUUGUAUUUCAGCAUUGGUCAGUACUGGACUUGCCAGUCUUAAGUGAGUAGGAUUGUUCACCACUCAAUGCUUGGUUACCACAGAGUUAAAUAAGAGCAGGAAAUCCAUAAUUUCAUAAUUUGUAAACAAAAUGCCUUUUCUCUUUAUUAGUAAAUUUGCAUUUAACUUGUAAUCUGCAAGAAACCGUGUUAAACUGGUUUAUAUAAAUGAAAGUUUGUCGAAGAAACAGUCUUAAAACUAUUCAAACGUUAUAUAAAGGAUUUGUUUCUCUCAAGUUUAUUCACUAAACUAGGACUUGUGAAGAAUUGAUGUGGAAUUGUAUAUUUCUGGGAAAAAUAAGAAUAGAUGAAUUUGAGUGAUUUUUGUCCUGGAAUUUACAACUGCCUUUUGAAUUUUCCAUUAUUCCCUUUUAAAAAAAUAAAUCCUUCAGUCUGUUUACACUAAGCAGACACAAUUGAAGGGACAGUUUAAGCACUAAAAUCGCUUUGUCUUAAUGAAGUGAUUUUAGUGCAGUCUUGAAGAGAAAUAAUACUGUUUAUUUUCGCAAUACCCAUGUUUCAUAUGGCUGUUGAUCUGUCAUUAGUCUUCCAACUAAAAUACAUCCAGUAACUGAAUCUAUUUUAUGUGCUGGAAACUGUUAUGAAAAGCAUGUAUUGGCGGAUUGCCACAAAUGCCUCUCAUAGGUGCUUCUCUAUGAGAAACAUUUAAUAGGUCAGUAGUCAUAAUGCUUGAUUGAUGACUUUCAGCGAGGGUGGAUUAGGCUGUUUUGGUGCUAUAUUACAGGUAAGUUUACAUUUUCCUUUUUUAAAAUUUUUUUUUUGAGUGGAAUAAAUCUAAAAUUAUAAGGAUUAGACUGCACUAAAAAUAUAAAUUUCUAGAUUGUGCCCUUUUAAAAGUUAGGGCUCUUCAAGCUGUGAGAGUAGCUUUUGCCAGAAAUUUAUUUUGUAUAUUAAUUUACAUAUUUUAUCUUUUUAUCUUUUUUUUUUACCUUUUUGUUUCACUGGUUCUUUGGGUUUUAAAGAAAGCAGGACAAGAAUCCAGUGUUUAAAUUCAGUAUGAGAGCCAUCAUACUUUUCAGUAUGGCUGUCCUACUGUAAAGUAAAAAGUAAAACUCCUAGGAAAGCAUUGAUCUAAUCGGUUCCAUGCAUUACACAUGUCUGAGUAAACUUAAAUGUGUGUGAUGUGCUUGUCGAGCAUGCAUAUUAGGUCCCCAAUACUCCUCUUAGGAGCACUGGAUUGGAUCAUCAUGGAGUAGUCCAUGCCUAAUUUGUGUCGUAGUGGUAACUGGAGAGGUAAACCGUGGGGAGGGUGCCUCACGAUGUGGGAAAAAGGUAAGUAAAUCCAUUUUUUUUUUUUACUUUUCUAGCAAACUGAGGAGGGGUAUGAGGCUGUAAAGAUCUAGGGACAGGGACACUCAAGUGUUAGAACCUUUUUCGUUUCUUCAGUGCUUAAGAUGUUUAUCGUAUGUAUUUAUUUUUCGUCUAUAGCACCACUGUUAAAUACAAUGCCUUGUUAUGCCUGAAUUCAGGCCUAUUGCCUAACAAUAAGAUCAUAGAAAGGUGUUAUGAGCGGUCUUCCUCUAGGUUAUAACUAGUGUUCUAGUAUGGCAAUCGUUGGCCGCUUUAAGUCUCAUAUUUCUAUAAUUUUCUGAAAGCCCAUUCCUUAAGCUCAUAGAAUUGUAUUGUUACUAUACCAUACAUUUUUGUUAUACUUCAUGGCUUUAGUCUUGUACGCUAUUUUAUUGAUAUUAUCUUCUAAAUAAAGAAUAUAUAAAUCUCAGUGAUUUGAAGUGGUCAUGGUGCCCAGAGUCUGUAUAGCGGUCUAAAUUUGGAGAAAAAAAAAGCCAUAUACUUGGCAAGCCACUGCAAUAGUUUCACAACAAAUUAGCUAGCUGACUGUGCUCUGCUGACACUCUCAUUCAAUGAAUUACCGACUGGAUAGGCAUCCAAUUUCUGCAACUCUGACGUCCAUAGAGGACCCUCGGCACAAAACGCAUUGCCCUAUUACCAGGGAACAGGCCAGGUGACUUCUAGCAUCAUCAUAACAACCGAGUAAUCUUUUACAGAUACACUUUAAGCACCAAAACCUUCUGUUUCUUAAUGUAGUGAUUUUCAAGUAUAGAUGUCCCUUUUCUCUGACAAUGUCAAGCAAUGACAAUGACAAAUGACAAUAUUUACGUUUUGCUAAAAACAUGGCUCUAGUGGUAGUCCCUUGACUGUGUUAGUACAAACAUGUAUUCCUGACCCUGUAGUGCUAAACCCACUAUUUAGGUGCCCCCUCCACCCCCCCAAGCCCCUCAGAAUGGGUUAAAAAUCACCUUAUUUUCAGCUCUCCACGGGUCUGCCGGCACUGGAUUGGCUAAAAUCGGCAAGGGGGCAGGGCCAAGCACAAUUUUGGCCAGUCAGCACCUCCUCAUAGAUGCAUUGAUUCAAUGCAUCUCUACGAGGAAAAUUCAGUGUCUCCAUGCAGAGCGUGGGGACGCUGAAUGGCAGGGCUCUAAGGAGUGGCCACUAGGAGGUGUCCCUCGUGGCAAUGUAAACACUGCCUUUUCUCUGAAAAGGCAGUGUUUACAUGAAAAUGCCUGAAGGGAGCUAUUAUGCUCAUUAAGCUGUAGUUGUUCUCGUGACUAUAGUCCACCAUUAACAAAAAGAUUUUAUCUUUAAGAACCCAAACCUGACUUACCGCUGGGGUAUUGUGCAAGUUUUGUUUAUUUCACAUAGCAUAAAUAUGGUGCUCACACCCUGCUAUUGCUGUCUAAAUUUGGAGAAGCCAACAUUGAGUGCCAAGAGUAUUAUUUUUGGCAAACUGCUACAACGGUUUCAC